UUUAUACAUUAUAAAGAUAAGAGACUGGGCUACAACUUUGAUGUUUACCACUUUGCCCAAUUCUAAUUAGAAUGUAGUCAAAAUCAUUUUCAAACUGAAAGCACUGCACUAGGAAUUUGGAACUACUCGAGAGUUUCUCGCUGCAGCGAGAAGCUUCAACAAAUUUCUCGCUGCAGCGAGAGUCAGGCCAGUGCAACCCCCUCCAACCCGAGAGUUUCUCACUGCAGCGAGAAAUAGAGCAACUUAGUUAAAAAGGGUCUUGUUACAUCAAAAGCCAUUUUCUUACUGAAAUGAAAAGCAAUUUGGGAGCAAUUAACAUUGCCAAUAUACAACACAAUCACAAUUAUUUUCAUAAACUUUCUAUAACAUAUAUAUAUUUGUAUAUACAUACAUCAUCAUGCAUACCAUCCUGCCACACUCAGCUCAUGUGCACUCCCUACACGCACAAGGCAAUAUCAUCAUCAUGUGCACUCCUUACUCACACAUUUCAAUAUCAUCAUCAUGUGCACUCCCUACUCGCACAUUUCAAUAUCAUCGUGUGCACUCUCUACUCGUACACUUCAAUAUCAUCAUCCACACUUCCGCACCCCAUCAUCACUAGCAUGUGCAUCCCCCACAUCGUGCACACGCACGGUUAUAUUCAUUACACAAUAGUAUCUACCAAUGUACAAUGCAUAUAUAUAUAUAUCAACAUAUAAAGGGAUUUCGUAAUUUCAUUGCAAUCACAUUUCAAAACGCAAAAAAAAAAAGGUUUCGUCAAAAGCUUGUUCCCAUAUACAUUUUAAGGAAAAAGACAAUUAAAACCUUUCAAGCAAUUCACUCAAACAUUUACACAUUUACCCCAAAUCAUUUUAAUGUAAGUUCACUCACCAGUCUUUAUUGAUGUUUUGGUGGGCUCUAACUUCGACUUAUGUUCCGAAUGGAGGUGUGGGGUUUCGUUGGAACCUAUCACACGCAACAACAUCGCCAUCAACCCAACUUGGCAUUAAUACCAUUCCAAAAGCUAUUUCCUAAAUCAAGUUCUACUAGUCAUCCCUAACUAGCUUCCAACUACUAUUAAAUGGCUAUUAUUUGCACUACUCUAGUCACACUAAAAUUGAAUAAACAACCUCAAUAAUAAAAAACUCAAAAAUCUAAUUAUUAAACAUUCUCAACACUUAAAAAAUUAACUCUACUUCAUUACUCACCUUUGUAGCUUUGUAAGUAAAUUCCUUUCCAAGAAUUUUCAAGCUAUCAUAGAAGCUCUCUCUCUUUCUCUCUUUAGAACACCUAGCUAGUGAGUGAAAGUAUGAGAGUAAGACUUUUUAAGGGUUUUAAGGUGAGAGAGUGAAAGAGUAUGAAAAACCCUAAAACAAGGUGUGCAAAAGCAUGAAAUUUAAGGUUAGUUUGAGAGGGUCAUGGAAGCUUUGAGAGAAGCUUUCAUGGAGGAUGAAAGAAACUUGAGAUGGGAGGAAGAAGAAGAAGAAGAAGAAGCUGCUGGAAAAAUGAGGAAGCUACUGGAGGAAUGAGAUAUUUAUGCAUAAGUUUAUCCAAGUUUCAUACAAUUUACCAAAAUAACCUCAACAAGGUGACUUUGUCUUCCUCCUAUCCUUUGUGCAACCUUUUUACUCUUUUGACGUUGAGAAAAAGUCCAUAAUAGUUUAAAAAUACUUAGGUUCACGAAAACGAAAAAAUUUAGACCUGAGAUGUAAAAUGACCAUUUUACCUUUACUAUGGAGAUUAUCAGUGUUUUUAUCUUCUUCAUUUAUUUUACCAUCAUUCAUUCAUUCUUUAGGCUUACUUAGACCUUAAUAACAUUAGAAAACUACUUCCAAAAGCUCACCAUGAGAAAUGACGAAAUUACCCCCGGUCCGUGUUAUUGCGUCUACUUCUAGUUACAAGUAUAUGAAGGUCGAGGUUUCACAAUACGAGGGUACUGGGUAUCACAUUUUCUCCCAUAUCUUGUGGAUGAUUAAAGCAUUUGUAGCUCCCACAUGAAAGUCUCCUACGUUAAAAAUAAAAAUACAUUAGUGUUACAAAAAAAAUAUAUAAAUAUACAAUACGGACUAAUAUUUUAACUUCUUGAUGACAACAUGGUACCUUAAAUUUAUGCCACAUGGCAUUCUUUACCUCGAGAAGAACAUGCCUCCAUGUAUGCCAAGCCCCAUUGAAGUAACUCUUGAUAAUUCUAGUGAUGGUUGGAGUCACUCUUGUCUUUGCAAAAGUACUAUAAAAUUAAUACAUCUGUAUUAGAAACACAUUAAUGAAAUUAAUUUGAUGAAUGAAAUUAGUUAAUUAGUAGAUAUUACCUUUCUUCAAUAGAUUUCAAACAAAUAUUGCAGCAUUAGGAUUAAGAUCUUCAUGAAUCACCCAUUCAUUUUCAUUCUCAACAUUGAAUUGAAACUCUAGACGUAAAGCAUCCAUAACCAUUUCAACAUAUGCAUUUUUUACUCUAGCUUUAUUAGCUAUUUCUUGGACAUUAUCAUCAACAAAAUGUCCCAAUGAUUGUCUAGCAUGGAAUGAUUCAACAUGUGAAUCCCAUAGCAUCGGUAAAACCUUUAUGAAAUAAGUGCACCUGAAUCUUAUCAACAAUUAAGAACUUGUUAUUCAUACAUUGAUAGCAAGGACAUCUGAUCCUAUUCCCAUUAACAUAUCUAUGUUGAUAAAAGGCAAAUGAAAUAAAUUCUUCUACACCAUUCACAAAUUGUAGUAUAAGAAAUCCACUUUAAUAUACUUGGGAAUGCACCCAACUCCUAUCUCGUUCCAUUCUAUUAACUAUAAUGAAUAGAUGAUGUCAUAUGUUAUAAGAUGUAAAAAAAAAAAAAACUUAACUAAUUACUAGAACUAUAAUGUAUAUAAUUCAAAGCAACAUAUUUUAUUUGAUGCGUCAAAGUUUUGUUUCCCAUUUUAAUUCUUUUUUACUUUAGUGUAAUAUUUUCACUAUAUUAUGAAUUUAAAUCAAUUAAGUGAUGAUUGUAUAAAUAUUUACGCUUUUGACAUGCAUUUUCACAUGGAAUAAAAUUUCCCUAUGUUUUUAUAUCAUUUAUAAAUUGAUAUUUAUUACAAACUUCACCAAUGUCCCUAAACACACUCUCCAAUUCGAUAUUUAUUCAAAAGCUAGCUUUUUAAGUUGCAAAGUAUUGUAACAUCUACACAUAGGUUUCACCUAUAAAUGUGUGUUGGAUAAGAAAGUUCAAGUUUCAGCUAUAGAAUAUUGUUACCUACAACAUUUUGAAUACUAGUUAUCUUAGUUUAUAAUUUAAAUAAUUUUUUAUUUGAGUUAUAUUAAAUUUGGGUUGUUCCAAAUCCAAAAAUCCAUUUUAGAUUUAAGUUGCUUGCAUUCAACCUAUUACCCUUCCAAACCCAAUUUGGAUUGGAUCAAGUUUGGUAUAAGAGGAGUCAUUUGGAUUUUGUGGUGGAGCCUACAUUAAUUAAAGUGGAAAGGCCAAGGUAAAGAAUAUUUAUGAAGAUCAAACAAAAUUCUUUGAAUAUUUAGGUCUUAUUUGCAGUAGAACAAAAUGUAGGAAUUCAAUCAAUAAAGUAAUAAAGUUGAUUUUACCCAUAAACCAAAAUUAAGCCUAAAUCCAUCAAAAUUCUAACAUGCCUUACACUUUGUCUUUUAAUCCUAAUAUUGAAAAUUAGUUUCAUUUCUCAAUGAUCACCCUUGUCUAAAAAAGAAACUCCUUUACAUCACUUGUCAAAAGGAAAAACUACUUUUUGUCUUGCCUCUAGACUCUAGAAUAUGACUUAACAACAUUUCUUAAAAUCCAUGUCACUAUUUGAUACUUGGCAUGUCACAACCCGGAACUCUCUUUGAGCCCGUGACAACCGCCGCGAUGUCCCGAUUGACACUAAUUACUCGAAAUGUCAACUAGAACCCCGCAAGGCUUUAAUAUCAGCUUCUCAUUUCCCCUGUGAGUAACCGUUGCCAAAUAUCACGUUCUAAAAGAUUUUAAACUAUUUCCAACUUAAAACAAUAAAAAAUAAUUUUCGUCUCACAGGGGUAUUUUAGUCAUUUUUCCUUUAAAAUUUUGAAACAAGCUAAUAAUGUAGUAUACGAUGCAAAACACAUAUUUCAUAACCAAAAAUAAAUUUGGAUGUCUAAAACAUUCGUUUAAAGUGAAAUUAUGAUUGUUAGAAUAAAAUAAAAAUAUUAAACAAAAUAUUCUAUUUUCUUAUAAAACAAUAUUUUUUAGAACACUGCGUAAAUAAUUUUUACAGCGUAAAAGCAAAAUAAAUUCCUACAUAUAGUAGUACAAAUAACUAAAGUAUGAAAUUUAAUUUACAGUGACAUGUGGACCCCCAAAUGACAAAAAUGAACGAAGGCUGCAAACCUACAGUUUUUGAGGAAGCAAAACCAACUGUAGCCUUCGACAAUAUCAGUUAUCUACAGCCUAUACUGAGCCUAAAAUGGGUGGAAAUGAAGGUGGUGAGAUUAUAAAAUUCCAGUGAGUAAACAGACAUCAUCAUAAACAUCUAGAGUUAAGUACAUGGAGACGAUAAAAUAAAUCAUCAUAAACUGGGUCACAACAUUAGAACACAUUUCAUUCAAAAUACGUAAUGAGGCUUAUGAAUCUCAUAAAAACUAGGCUUGUGCCAUAAAAUCCAUUCUCGGGGACACCUUGGCCGAGGCAUCCUACCGAGACCGCCAAGGUUGUUAAAAAUUCACAUUUCGCAUAAAACACAUUUUUCGUUGGACAUCACAACUGUUCCUUGGUGUUGGUUGAGUUCACCAUCACGUGGUGGUUCGGCGUGAAAUGAACUCAAAUACAACCUCAGGAGCUACCUUACGCGCCUCUACAAUCGAGAUGAGCACAUAUAAACUGGGUUAUUGUGCCCCUCUCAUAGGCUGGUCUAUGGAACCCGCCUACUGCAGUAAGCUAAUAAUUAUCUCACCAAUCAAUAAAAUUCAAUAACAUGAUAUGACAAUUAUUGCAAUUCACAGCCUUUCAAGGCAAACAAACAAUCUGUAUUUCAAAACAAUUGCCAACCAACUAAUCAUGCCCGGUUUAUCAUAAGCCAAUCAAUUUAAACAAUCAAAUUGCAACAAAUAGCAGUCUCCGUGUACUUUAUUUUUCAAAAUCAUUAUUAAUUUCAAAACAAUUGAUAAAUUAAUUUCAUUGAAACACAUUUAUUCAUAAAACAUGAAAAUUUACCUUUUUAAAUCCAUUUUUCCGUAGAAUUUAUGAAAUCAUCUAAAAGCCACCCUAGAUAAUUAAAAUGAUAGUAAGUUUACUCACAAUGUCUAGAGUGUGAAUUUUCGAAGUACUCUGACUAGUGGUCCUCGGAUGCAAUUUCUUUGCCUUUAUCGGAGGACUCACCACCUUGACAUAGUAAAAAAUCGAGAAACUUACUACAUUAGUACUAAAUCGAAAUUAAACUAAUUUAGACUACUAAUGCAUGAUAUGGAAUGCAAGAUGCACGGGUAACCAUCUAAACCCGGUAUUAGCCUAAUUCGUCUUAUCACCUGAUUAAUUGGCCAACGCGUCCAAUUUAGCUCCAAAUUGCUCCAUUUCUUUUCCAAUACCUUAAUUCACCAAACACAAGUCAAAUAACCUAAAAUUUGGCAAAACCAUCUUCACUUUUCUUCUUAGAAUUUUCGGUCAAUAAUGGUGCAUUAACAACGUGAUUUUUCCUACUACUUUUCCACACCAUAAUUCAUCAUUUUCUAACCAAUUCUCUUAAAAUAAAAAAAAUCAAAUUCAUCCGUACUUAAUACAAGGUAGGUUCGGCCAUUGAUGGGUGAUGGGAAAAAUGAAUUCUUUUCUUACUGUUUUGCUUCUAGACAUGGUAAACUAACUAAAAAUACUAACAUAACUUGAAAUCAAAUCAAUCCAACAUCAUUAUCUCUCCAUACCCAUUCGGCUAGCCAUGAAUUCACCAUGAAAAUAUAAAAUUUAAUCGUGAAAAAUAAGGAGAAAUGUUUAAGGAAAAUAGAUUUCAAGUUUAAAUUGAGAAAUCCUACCUUUUUCACUUGCUUUUCCAUACUUUUUCUCUUGAAAUUCUCCAUCUAGGUUUAUUCUUUCUUUGUUUCCCCAUUUUCCUUGCUUGGCCAAAUAUUUGGAGAGAAGUGAGAGGUUUAUAGGCUGAUUUUUAAAGGAAAUAAUAAAAUAUUCUAAGCUUGACAAGUGUCAUUUUAUUAUUGGUCUAUUUUUAAAACUUUAAAAAUUUAAACUUUUUAUCUCCAUCACAUAUAUUUUCUCACUUAUCCAUAACAUAAAAAGUCAAUGGAUGAAUUCUAUGAGCAUGACAAGUGUUGGGUGUGUAGAAUUACCAUUUUGCCCCUACGGUGGCAAAAUGACUAUUUUGCCCUUAGGGUGGCAAAAUGACUAUUUUGCCCUUAUCAUCGAAAAAACACCAAAAUUAAAAUUCUUCACUUCUCAAACUCAAAUUAUACCCCAAAUGAUCAAUCUUAGUCAAAAAUUUCAUCUAACUCUCACAUCUUAACCUCGGGUGACGAAAUGACCAUUUUACCCAUGGAUAGUGAAAUUUUCGGUUUGAUUCCAAAUUGAUUUUCGAACUCCAAAUCACCAUUUUAAAUCAUUCAUGGACUGUAAAAUUUUCAAUUUCACCCUAAAAUCUCUAUUUGAUCUAGUUCGAGGAUUAAAUCAACUUUGUUGUACCUCUAAGUAUAAUACCUACUUUUAUAAAUUUUUCGGCACUCUCCUAGCAUGCAAACAUGCUAUCCAUCACAUGUAUGUCAUGACAAGUAUUUUAUAAGGUCAGAUUUUACAUGGAAAAUCCUUUUCAAUGCAAAUAUCAUGAUCUUUAACCUAAUCCAUGGAUCUUGAAGCUAUGUACAAAUCAAGGUAAUAACUAAAAUAAUUUCAUUGAAUCUUUUCAAGUUCAAAUCAACACCUUAGCAUUUUCCAAGCAUCUUUUUGACAUACAAUUUCCUAUUACAUAGUUUGAAACAUACUACCAACUUGGGUCGACACUAGAAUGGUAUAGCUUUCGAACCAUUUAAACAACUAUACAUAACAAUAUGAGAUAGCUUCUAAAUAGAAAUUCAAGAUUUAAAUCCAAUACUCAAAGCAAUGGACAAGGACUCCAUAGAGAAAAUAAUUCUUUAUAUUGACAUUUUUAAAUCAUAUUAUUUAUAAUAUCAUUUAAAUAAUAAAGUAAGAGGGGCAAAAAUAGGCAAACCUAAAAAAAAAGACUUUAAAUGACUUCAAAAAGCCUAUAUAUUAACUUGCUUAAAAUUUAACGAUCGCUAAAUCGUGUGGCAAAGAUCUCAUGAGACCUUAUUUGAGAUAAGGAGAAUUCAAUGGGACUAUAUAUGAUAGAUUAUACCUUCAGGUGGCAUAUUUAUAUCAUCAAAAGUAGUAGCUUAUAUCAUCGUUUUUAUUUCUCUAUGCCAAAUAAAACUAAUAGUAACAUAGUUUAUUAUUCUAUAUUCAAUGAUCAUCUCACCAUCAUGGGUUAAACUAUGAUUUAGUAAGUACCUCAUUCAACUAUAUUAGUAGAAGGUGGAAAAACAAGCAAGCAAUCUUGAAACAUUAAUUGUCCCUCUAUCAUUAAUUAAAUUGGGAUACUAAAGCUCUCAAUUUGUCCUUUCUAGUUUGCAUAAUCGUGGUAAUUAUUAGCAAUAGAAUUAAGAGACAUAACAAUCAUAUAUGUGCUUAGAAAAAAUAAAAACAAUCUUGUAUUAUAAAUAAGAAAAGAAUGUUACUUACUUCAAUUUGGUGUCGAUGGUGGUGGCUUGAAGCUUUGGUGGCAGAUUUGGCAUGCAUGGGGUGGAUUUGUUGUGCAAGAGGUGGACUACCUGGUUUUGGCGAUAGAGGUGUUGGGUCGGCAGUGGGCAAUGUCUGGGGAAGCUUCAAUUGAUGGUAAGACUAGAUUGGGUAAACAAGAAAGAAAGAGGUGAGAGAGAGAAACAAAAUGGAGAAUUGGGGGAAAAAAGCCCAAGCAAGUCAUUUAAUUUAAGUUACCAACAAAAUUCUUGAUGAAAUUCUCAUCAAUAAGUAAAAUGGAAAUUACUAACAAAAAUUCUGUUGGCAAUUUGGUCAGUCUAGGCUUCAAAUUAAAAAGUCAUUACUGAUAGAAAUUCCAUUGGUAAUGGCAUAAGAAUAUUAACAGUUUUACCAACCACAAGUUUUGUCUGCAAUUUCGUCGAUAAAUUUUGUUGGUAAAGAAAAUACCUAUGGAAUUAGUUAAUUGGUACUUCACAUGCCUUUUGCCUAGAUUGCACGUCAAACAAUUAUCGACCAACUUUUGAUAGAACAUAUUUUGUCGGUAAAUUCUGUUGGUAUAUCAUUGGUAUUUUGUUGACAAUUUGCGUGGCUUGGAUUUGUUGGCAACAUGUCAAUAAUUACCAAUGGAAUUUUACUAACGAUUUAGUUCUAUCGGCAAAACCCUGUUUUUUAAUGGUGUUCUUACUACAUAGUUUUAGUUGCAUUUGUUCUAAUGCAAGUGAAUUAAUCACAUAACAAUUAAUACAUUUUCAUUUUAUUGCACUAUCUAAAGUGUAAUCACAUAAAACAAAUUAAAAUAAAUUUAUGUGUAAGAGAGGAGUGAAACCCAUAAAAAAUCGGAAGCCAUGGCCCAUGAAACAACCAAUAAAAACGUCAUUUAUCUUUUAUGUUUAAUUUUUUUUUUUGUUGGAAAGUCACUCUCAUUUAAUACCCCUUUCUCUCUUUCUCAAGCUUGGAUCAAGUAUCAUUUCUUGCUUCAUUUCUCACCAAAUUUUUUCAGAUUUUUUUACUUUCAAAUUUUUUCUAAGAUAAGUAAAUUCUCUUUUUCUCUCUUUGUUCAUUUUUCCCCUUUGGCUACUAAGAAAAUUCUUAGUUAGCUAGAUCUAAAGAAAUCCUCAGAGAGUUUCUCAUGUUUUUUCUUUUAUUUUAUUUUUGUACUUUAUUUUUUCAAAUCUAUAUUAACUUUUUAUGCUCCAUUAUCUUGAACAAUUUUUUUUGGUAUAAAAAAAAAUUCCCAUUGAGAAAGGUGAAUAGUUGAAAAAAAAAACAAAAAAGAAUUUGAAAUGAGUUCCAUGGCUUCAAGGUUGGUCCAUCCAAAACUCUCACUCCCCAAACUCUAGUAAGUUGAUAUUCUUUUCUUUUGUUUCUUUGAUUCGUAUGUUUUUGUAUGAUUUUUCAACUUGAUAUUCGAAUUGAAUCAUUAUCAAUGAAAUGGUGGACAUUAGAUUUAAUUAUGUUUUUCUUUAGCUUUGUUAUAAAUUUUAAUGUUAUUUUCUCUAGAUUCUACCAUCUAUUGAAAUAUGAAUUCUCCCUAAUGAUGCAAAAAUGUUAGAAAAGAUUUGUUUUGUGGAAAUGAAAUGUUAAUUUUCUUUUUAGGCCUUCUCCUUUUAUACGAAAUAGUGCAAACCGUGCAAUGGGUGGGUCCAAGAAUGGGAGAUUCUUUUUAGCAGAGUUUACAAGGUUGAUGAGCUUUUUAAAGUUAAAGAAGCAUAGACUAUAGAUGUACCUUCUCCUCUUUCUGAGAAGGUGUUAACUAUUGUCAACUUAGUAAUGUUGGCCUUUUUGUAUGAUGUAUCCCUUUAUCUUGACUUAUUGAACUGGGAGAUAUAUUUAAUUGUACGCCUCUAGGCAACUAAAGAUGCAUGAAUAGAACUACCUCACACACUAUUUAGAGAUGGUAGAAACAGUGUUCGCCUUGAAGAAUUGGAGACAAUACUUGUAAGGGAGAAUUGUGAGAUCUAUAUAGAUCUCAACCUUAGGCAAUGGGGAUGGAUGAAGUUGCUUAAAGAUUACUACUGUACCAUUCUAUAUUGUCCUAGCAAGGCCAAUGUGGUAGCCAAUGCCUUAAUUUAGAAGCCCAUAGGUAGUUUGGCCAACAUAUCGGUGGAUAAGAGAUCAUUAGUGCAAGGAAUGCAUGACUUUGGUGACUUGGGCAUGAAUUUUGAGAUUAAUGAGACAAACGCAUUGUUCACCAAUUUUUGAGUUAGGCUAGUUUUUAUGGAUUAGAUUUAAGGAGACCCAAGGCAAGGAUGACUUUGUAACUAAGGCCUUGGAAAUAUUCAAAGAGGUAAGGGGCGUGAUUUUGUUUUGGGCAUUAAUGGGUUACUUUGAUAUGGUACUAGGAUCUAUGUGCUAGAUGUUGAUGGGUUGAGGAAGGAAAUCUUAGAGGAGGCACACAGCAUGGCCUAUGUGGUGGAUUCAGGUGCCACUCAGAGGUACUAAGACUUAAAGGAAGACUAUUGGUGGGCAAGACUAAAAGAGAUGUGGUUGAGUAUUUGUAUAAGUGUUUGGUGUGCCAUCAAGUCAAGACGAAGCAUCAAAGGCUCGUAAUGUAGUUACAACCAUUGCCCGUGCCUGAGUGGAAGUGCGAGCAUAUUGUAAUGGAUUUUAUAAUAGGGUGCGUUGAACGAGCAGUGAUUAUGAUUCAAUAUAGGUAAUAGUAGAUUGGUCGAUGAAGUUAGCACAUUUCUGUGAGGCCUUGACCUUUAUAGACUCAUAGUUAGUAAUAUACGCGAUAUCCCUUAUUAGGUAUAAUUUCGUCAUUUCCUUAGUGAGCCCAUAAAAGUAAGAUUUUAAACAAUAUUAUGGCCUAAGUAGGCCUAAGGUAUAAAUGAAUGAUGAAAAUAUGGGUAAAAUGACAAGGAAACAAAAAUUUUGAUGAUUUUCAUGGUAGGGGUAAAAUGGUAAUUUUUUACCUCGGGUUAGAAUUUUUAAGUUUUCAUGAACCCGAGCAUUUCUAGACCAUUAUGGACCUUGUCCCAGUGUCAAAGAGUAAAAAGAUUGCAUAAAAGAUUGGAAGAGAAUAAACUAAUUUGUGGAGGGGCAUUUUGGUAAUUUAAGUGGAGUGGAUAAGCAUAGGCUAUAAAUAUCUCUUCCUUCCAGCAGCUUCUACGUUCUCCAGUAGCUUUUCUUCUUUUUCUUCUUCCAUCUCACGUUGCUUCCAUCCUCCAUGGAAGCUUGAUAUGAAAUUUUCAUAACUUUCUCUUUCUAGCUCCAAAUUUCAUGCUUUUGGUGCACCCUUUCCAUAAACCCUUGUGCUCUUCCAUUCUCUCACUUUAAAACCUUUGAAAAAAAUCUUGUUUCCAUACACUCUCUCACUAGUUAGGUGUUUUAGAGAGAGAAAGAUGAAGCUUUACAAUAGUUUGGAGAAUUGUUGGAAAGAAUUUCAAAGUUUCAAAGCUAUUAAGGUGAGUAGUAAAUUAGAGUUGAAAUUUUAGUGUUGAGAAUGAUUAGAGAUUUGAAUUUGUGAAUACUUUGUAGUUGAGAUUGUUAAUUCACUUUAGAGUGAUAGGAUAGUGAAAAUGGAUAGCCAUUUAAAUGGCAAUUGAAAGCUAGCUAAGAGAUAGCUUUUAGAAUUUGUAAGUAUGUGGCUUGAAUUAAUGGUGAUGUUAAUGUGAUGAUAGGUUCCAAAGAAGCCACACCGUCCCAAUUGGACCAUUAAUGAAGUUAGAGUCAGUUAAAGGCUCAACAAUACCGGUGAGUGGAUUUGCAUUUCAAAAUUUAUUUUGGGAGUGUGAAUGCAAUUGUACAAACAUUUGAAAGAUUUUAUCCAUUUUUUUCUUUGAAAAUGUACCUUGGGAACAAGCCUUUGGUGAAGUGAAUUUAUAUUGUGAAAAUGUGCUAUACAAUGGUUUAUGUGUUAUCACAAUAUGAUAAUAUGCAUGAUAUGCAUUGGGUGCUUCUUUGUUUAUUGAUGUGGACUCUGCUAUGUGCGAGUAGGAGUGUACAUAAGCUGAUGAUGACCUGGCUAUGUGCGAGUGGGAGUGCACAUAAGCUGAUGAUGACCCAGCCAUGUGCUAGUGGGGAGUACACAUGAGCUGAUGAUGAUGGGAGAGUGUGUUUGAUGAUGAAUAUAUAUAUAUAUAUAUAUAUAUACAUGUAUAGAUAUGUGUGUUAUAGAAAGUUCAUGAAUAUGUAAAUGGUUGAAAUUCAUGUGAAAUUUGACAUGUUAAACUUUGGGAAAUUAUAUGAGUUUUAUGUUGUGUUGGUCAUGUGAACAGGGUGGCCAUUGCUUGAGGGAAUGGGGGAAUUUUUGCCUGUGCUCUGUUUCUCGUUGCAGCAAGAAACUCUCAUGUUUGGAGGGGUGGUGCUGGCCGAAAUCUCGCUGCAGCGAGAAUGUUAAUGUAGCUUCUCGCUACAGCGAGAAACUUUAUGUUUGAGACUAGAAAUUUCACUGCAGCGAGAUUCAUUCUCGCUGUAGCGAAAAACUUUCUGUUUUGCUCCNNNNNNNNNNNNNNNNNNNNNNNNNNNNNNNNNNNNNNNNNNNNNNNNNNNNNNNNNNNNNNNNNNNNNNNNNNNNNNNNNNNNNNNNNNNNNNNNNNNNNNNNNNNNNNNNNNNNNNNNNNNNNNNNNNNNNNNNNNNNNNNNNNNNNNNNNNNNNNNNNNNNNNNNNNNNNNNNNNNNNNNNNNNNNNNNNNNNNNNNNNNNNNNNNNNNNNNNNNNNNNNNNNNNNNNNNNNNNNNNNNNNNNNNNNNNNNNNNNNNNNNNNNNNNNNNNNNNNNNNNNNNNNNNNNNNNNNNNNNNNNNNNNNNNNNNNNNNNNNNNNNNNNNNNNNNNNNNNNNNNNNNNNNNNNNNNNNNNNNNNNNNNNNNNNNNNNNNNNNNNNNNNNNNNNNNNNNNNNNNNNNNNNNNNNNNNNNNNNNNNNNNNNNNNNNNNNNNNNNNNNNNNNNNNNNNNNNNNNNNNNNNNNNNNNNNNNNNNNNNNNNNNNNNNNNNNNNNNNNNNNNNNNNNNNNNNNNNNNNNNNNNNNNNNNNNNNNNNNNNNNNNNNNNNNNNNNNNNNNNNNNNNNNNNNNNNNNNNNNNNNNNNNNNNNNNNNNNNNNNNNNNNNNNNNNNNNNNNNNNNNNNNNNNNNNNNNNNNNNNNNNNNNNNNNNNNNNNNNNNNNNNNNNNNNNNNNNNNNNNNNNNNNNNNNNNNNNNNNNNNNNNNNNNNNNNNNNNNNNNNNNNNNNNNNNNNNNNNNNNNNNNNNNNNNNNNNNNNNNNNNNNNNNNNNNNNNNNNNNNNNNNNNNNNNNNNNNNNNNNNNNNNNNNNNNNNNNNNNNNNNNNNNNNNNNNNNNNNNNNNNNNNNNNNNNNNNNNNNNNNNNNNNNNGCUAAAAUGUAAUAUACAAGUGCAAAACACAUAAUUCAUAAUCAAAAUGAGUUUAAAAGUCUAAAAUCUUCAUUUAAAACGAAAUUAUGAUUAUUUGGAUAUAAUAAGAUAAUAAAAGAAAUAUUAAGCAAAAUAUUCUAUUUUCUUACAAAACAAUAUUUUUAGAGUUAUACAUAAAUAAAUUUUGUAGCGUAAAAGUUAAAUAAAUUCAUACAUACUGUAAUACAGAUAACCAAAGUAUAAAAUUUAAUUUACAGUGACAUGUGGGCCCACGAAUAACUAAAAGUAUUAAAAAAAAAUGAACCUACAGCUUUUGGAUGUGGCAAGUCCAACUGUAUUCCUCGACAAUAUCAGUUAUCUACAAUCUAUUCUGAGCUUGAAAUGGGUGGAAAUGAGGGUGGUGAGAUUAUAAAAUCCCAGUGAGUAAACAAACAUCAUUCAAAAUAUCUAAAGGCGAGCAAAAGGAGACUAUUAAAACAUUUCAUCAAACUGUAAUUGAUCAUCUUUCAACUUAUUUCAACCAAAUGAAUCAUUUUAUUUAAAUCAAGUAAUCAGUAUGGCUUAUGAAUUUCUUAAAAGCUUGGCUCAUGCCAAAAAUUAUUAUCAUACUCAGUUAUUUGGGAUACCUUGGCCGAGGGCUAUCCCAACUGAGUCCGCCAAGGCUAUUAGAAAGUCAUGUACGCAUAAAUCAUGUUUUUAUUUUGAAAAAAUAGCCAUUCCUUGGCGUUGGCCAAGUUCCCCCUCAUGUGGUGGUUUAGCGUGAAGUGAACUCGAAAAGUUAUACCUCAGGAGUUACCUUACUCCCCUCUCCAACCGAGGUAAAAAUAUAACAAGAUUCCGUGCCCCUCUAAUAGGCUAGUCCACAGAACCCAGCCCACUGCAGCAGGUCAAACCCACCAUACAAUAAAAUUUUGACAACAUAACAGGGCUAAUAUAUUACUACCCAACUUGCAAGGGUAAAAUAAACUAAUUCAUACAAUUCAUAAAAACCCAACCCAGCCAGUCAUGCCAAUAUAAUAACAUAAGCCAUUAAUUCAAUUUUAAAUUUACAACAUAUCAGUGGUCUCAAAUUACUCUAUUUUCAAAAUCGUUAUUUCGUUUCAAGACAAUUUAUAAAUAUUUUCAUUUAAACUCAUUUUUGUUUAUAAAAUCUAAAAUUAGCUAUAUAACUCAUUUUCAUAAAAUUUCACCAAAACCAAAUAAAAACAUACUUUAGAUAAUUAAAAUGAUAAUAAGGUUACUCACAGUACUAGGAGUUCGAUAUACUCCUAUUCUCGAUCUUCAGGCACAAUCUCUUUACUCUUAUUAGAGGGUUCACCACCUAUAUAUCAUACGUGACACGAAUUUCAAUAAAUUGUGUCAAUUUAUCAUAAACUAUUUCAGGCUCUAUAAAUCUAUAUGAAUGCACAAAAUGUGAUGCAAAAUGUCCGAAUAGCAGUUUAAAUACGGUAUUCGACCUAAUUCGCACUAUUCUCGGUGUAAUUGGCUAAAAUCUCCAAUUUAACUCCAAAUCAAUUCUUAUCACUUUCUACACUCCAAUUAUACCUAAAUUACCCCAGUGACUGUGAAUGAGAUUCAAUUUAUCAGUCUCGGGUCAAUAAUCACACAUGUCUAUAUGUUGAGCAAAAAUUCAGAUUUUCACACUAAAAUUUUCCAUUUAAUUUCUAGCCUCACCAAAGAUCAAUUAUCACCCGAAUAUCAUGAAAUAUCAUCAAUUUUAGCCAUAAUAUCCUCCUUAGAAAAUUUGGCCAUUGAUGGUUGAUGGGAAAAAUGAAUUCUUUUCUUGUUGUUUUGUUUCUAAAUAUGCUAAACUAACUAAAAACACUAACAUAACUUAAAAUCAAAUCAAUCUAACAUCUUUCUCUCUCCAUACCCAUUUUGACCAGCCACCAUGAAUUCAUCAUGAAAACAUGUAAUUUAACCAUGGAAAAUAAGGAGAAAUGCAUGGGAAAGGUAGAUCACAAGUCAAAAUCAAGAAAUUUUACCUUUGAUUGUUUGAUUACUUGAAAUCCACUAAUUUUCCCUUGAAUUUUUCCACCUGGGGUUCUUUUUUUUCUUUUCUUCCUUUUGUUUUCCUUUGGCCGGCCAUAUGAAGAAAAUGGGCUAAUUUUAUGCUAAAUUUAAAGUUAAAUAAUAAAUGGUUAUAAACUUGACACAUGUCACCUUAUUAUUGGUCCAUGUGUCAUUUCUGAACUAUUAAGCUUUCUCUCUCCACCAUACAAAUUCCUUCAAUUAUCCAUGAUAAUAUUGGGUAAAAUUCAUGUGCUAGAUAAGUGUUGGGUGUGAAAUUACAAUUUUGCCCUUAGGGUGGCAAAAUUACCAUUUUACCCCUAUGCUUCGAAAAAUACCGAGAUUACAAAAUUUUCACUUUUCAACCUCAAAUCAUACUCCAAUAAGUCAUAUAUGAUCAAAAUCUUUCAAAAAAAUUUCCCAUUUUGUCCUCGAGUGUCAAAAUUACUAUUUUACCCCUGGAUAGUUUACGAGUAUUUAGUCUACAUUCAUACAAAUGAAUAGUCUAAGAGGACAAUACAUAGACUAGAAAAUAUGUUGAGGCCUUGCAUGGUUGAUUUUGGCAUUACAUGGGAUCAGUACCUACCACUUGUGGAGUUCACAUACAAUAACAAUUAUCAAGCUAGUAUACAUAUGGUGCCAUAUGAGGCUUUGUAUAGGCGGAGGUGUAGAUCGUCCAUUGGUUGGUUUGAGAAUGGGGAAAGAUAGCUUUUAGAAUCAAAGUUAGUCUAAGAUGCCACAAAUAAGAUAUAGGUGAUCCAUUAGAGGAUGAGAAUGACACAAGGUAGAUAGAAAUCAUAUGCUGAUAAUAGACAAAGUGAUUUCGAGUUUCAAGUGGGAGAUUAUGUGUUCUUAAGAGUCUCAUUGAUUAAAGGAAUCAUGAGGUUCAACAAGAAGGGGAAAUUGAGCUCAAGAAACAUUAGACCUUUUGAGAUCCUUGAAAGAGUUGGUGUAGUGGCAUAUCGACUAACAUUCCCUCUACACCUCUCUAGCACACAUUCGGUGUUCCACAUGUCUACACUUCAGAAGUACAAUCUUGAUCAUUCUUGUUACUGUAGUUAGCUUAAUGCAUUAAAUACUCAUAAAUGGGUGGAUUGGUAUUUUAAAAAUUUUCUUUGCAAGCUUAAUGAAAAAUAACCAGUUUUUGAAAAACAAAUUUUUUUCUUAUGUCAAAAGCAAAGCAAGUGAUUUUUCUUUAAAGCAAAUAUUAACAAUAAAUCACAAGGCAUAAAAGUAAAUCAAGAAACAAGGAUUUUUAUAGAGGUUCGGCUUUCUCAAAUGCUUACAUCCAUUCCCUUGUGUCAUGAGCCAACUUUGUAUAGGGCUAUGACAAGGUAGAAUUCUUUAAAAGAUUAAUAGCAUGUUUAGUUCACGGAACGAUAGGAAUGGAAUAGAAUAGCUAUUAUGUGGUAAUAGAAUGAGGUGAGAAUAGAAUAAAAUAGGUAUUACGUAGUUUGGUAAAAUGAAUGGAAUAUGGCAGGAAUAAUUAUUAUGAUUUAUUGUAGCGUUUGGUUGGUAACAAUAACUUUGGAAUAAGAAAUGAAUAGAAAAUAAAAAGAUAAAAAUACCCUUUACUAUAUAUAUAAUUAUUUUAUUUUAUCUUAUUUUUAAAUAUUAAUAUUUUAUUUAUAAUCUAAUCAUUAGUAUUAAAAAAUACUAAUAUUUUAUUCAUAAUUUAAAUGUUAUUAUGAUUAUUUAUUUUUAAAUUAUUUUAUUUUUAAACAUUAAAAAUGUAUAAUUUAUUUAAAAAUAUNNNNNNNNNNNNNNNNNNNNNNNNNNNNNNNNNNNNNNNNNNNNNNNNNNNNNNNNNNNNNNNNNNNNNNNNNNNNNNNNNNNNNNNNNNNNNNNNNNNNNNNNNNNNNNNNNNNNNNNNNNNNNNNNNNNNNNNNNNNNNNNNNNNNNNNNNNNNNUAAUAAUAUUUUAUUUAUAAUUUAAAUUUUAUUAUGAUUAUUUAUUUUAUUUAAUUUUUAUCUUUUAAAUAUUAAUAAUUUAUAUAUAUUUUUAAAUAUUAAUAAUUGAUUAUUUAAAUAUUAAUAUUUUUAUUUAUAAUUUAAUCAUUAAUAUUAUAAAAUACUACUAUUUUAUCUAUAAUUUAAAUGUUAUUAUGAUUAUUUUAUUUUUAUUUUAUUUUAAAAUAUUAAUUAAUUUAUAAUUGAUUUAAAAUAUUAAUAUUUGGUAAUUUAAUUUAUAAUUUAAAUAUUAUUAUGAUCAAAAUAUUAACACUUUUAAUUAAUUUUUAAAUUUAAAAUAUUUUAUAAUAUAUAAUUAAUAACUUAACCUUUUUAUUCUAAUAAGAUUUAUUUUUCUCUAUUUGCAUUUUUCAUUUUUUUGAUUUAAAUUUCACUUAAUAAUUUAAAAAUUAAUAUUUUAAAAUAUUAAUUUUUUAUUUAUAAUUUAAAUAUAUUAUUAUUAAAAUAUGAAAAUAUUAAUAAUUUUUAAUUUUAAUUAAAAAUAUUAAUUUUAUAAGUUUAAGUUUGUAAUUUUAAAAACAAAUAAGGACAUUUUAGUCCAAAAUAUUUAAAUUUUAUUCCCAUGGUUGUGGAAUAGCUAACACCAUGUGGGAUGAUGGUAUUAGCUAUUCCAAGCUUUUACCCAAUUUUAAAGAAUAGCCAUUCAUUUUGGAAUGGCUAUUCCUUCCCCACAUGCAAACCAAACAAGGGGAUAAAAUUUUGUAAGGAAUAGAGGGGGAAUGGCUUAGCUAUUUCCCCAACCAAACGUGACCUAAGUCUGUUAUACUCUGAGGGAGAUGUCCCCCUUUUCAAUCAUUGUAAUGGCUUUUGGUAAUAUCUCUAGAAAUGCUUGUUAAGUCUUUAGGAGGGAGACUCUUUCAGAAAGGAAUGUCCCCAUCUCAAGCAUUGUAAUGGCUAUUGGUGAAAUACUUGUAAAAUCUUAUAAACUCUUGAUAAAGGGUGAGCAGUUGGUAGGUUGUUAGUUUGUCUCACUAGUUCAAGUGCAUUGGUGGCUAACCAUUUAAGGCUGCCUCUAUGGCCAGACGAUGUCACGUUCCUUCUCUUGGUCCCUUUGUACUUAUUUGCAAUAUUAAUAAAAUAUUUUCUUUUAUAAAACACCAGUGGUUGCAUAUAAGGCAUUUGGUAUGCUUUUUGAUUUUAAUAUUUUUUUCCAUGACUUAACUCAUGGCUGUUAUUCAUCUUGUUCAGAUAUAAUCGAGCAAUUGGUUGGCUUGAGUGGAAACGUCCACCGAGCGCCAUACGGACUAUCGUGUAUUUAAGCAAAGAGGGCGUAGUCCGUGAUAGUUGGCAUCAAAGCAUGGGCGAGAUGUGCUAAGUGAAAGAGUAAACAUGGUGACCACACGAAGUUCACCAGAGGACCAUUAGAGAAUUGAUGAGCUAAAGGCCACGGUGGCUGUAGUAAAAGCUCAAAUUGUCUUGUAUGAGAGAAUAGAUAAAAUUAAGACAAUUUAGCAAGAAUUGUAUAAGAUGAUUAAUACCUUGAGUGAUGAGACUAGGGAUGCUUUAGGUACUCUCCAAGGCGAGAUUAGAGAAUUGAAAACUCAUGUAAAUCUUUUGGUUAUUGUUAUAGGUAAUACCAGUCCAAGCUCAAGAGAUCGAGGUAAAAUAGCAAAAGUGCUGGAGCCCAAGCAAUACGAACGGGCCAAAGAAGCUAAGGAGUUGGAGAACUUUCUUUUUGGUAUUGAGCAGUAAUUUUAAGCUGUGCACACAGAGUCAGAGGAGGACAAAGUGGCGAUGGCUUCAAUGUAUCUUGUUAGGGAUGCGAAGUUAUGGUGGCAUUUCAAAUUCAUUGAUGGUGAGUGUUGUAUCAACACUUGGGCAGACCUCAAGUAAAAAUUGAAGAACUAGUUUUUCUUUGAGAAUGUUAAGUAUAUGUCGCGGUGGAAGCUGUGGGAGUUGUCAUAAACGGUAUCAGUGCGGGUGUUCGUGAGGAACUUUUCUACUUUAAUUUUAGAUAUCAGGGAUAUGACUAAAAAGGAUAAAAUGUUCUAUUUCCUCGAAGGUCUAAAACCAUGGGCGAGGACGGAGUUACAAUGACAGAAGGUACAGGAUGUGACUUCGACAAUGGUGACUGCCAAGCGCGUUACUAAUUAUAAUGAAAACUCUAACAAAAUGAAAGACCCUCCAUCUAGAACUAGCAGCUCUAGCUCAAACAGUGGGCAAAAUUCUAAGAGUUAGUAGGCCCUUGAGUGAAGGAGGCGACAAGAGACCACAUGUUAGAGACUCACCCUAAUCAAGAACAAACAAGCCAUGGAACUUCAAGCCAUGACCUCCAAUAUCUUGUUUUCUAUGCAAAGAAUUACAUCGAGUAGCUGAUUGUCCUUACCGGGCAACUCUUAGUAAGAUAUGCACUACUAAUGUUGAGACACCACCACCCCACACCCCAAUCAAAGAAGCUGAAGAAGAGCCAUCGUGAAUGGGUUCAAUUCAUUUCCUCAGCACCUUACAAGUGCAAUUAGAAAAGAUGGAGUAGAAGCCCUAACAGGGUCUAAUAUAUAUAGAGGUGUUGUUCAAUGAAAAAAAACAAAAACUAAAGCCAUGCUCGACACGAGGGCCUCAAACAACUUCAUCACCCUAGGAAAGACAAAGAGGUCUGAUCUUAAGGUUGAGAAAGACUUUAGAUAGAUGAAAACAAUUAACUCACUAGCCUUUGCUAUUAUGGGGAAUUCAAAAAAUGUGAAGAUCAUGAUCGGGUCUUGGGAAGGGAGUGUAAAUUUACUGUAGCUACUAUAGAUGACUUUGACUUUGCCUUUGGCUUGGAUUUUAUGACAAAGGCACAGGAUAUUCCAUUUCCUGUGGCUAGUUGCUUGAUGUUUUUUGGAAGACAACCAUGUGUGGUACCAGCUACAAUUUUACUUAAGAGUUGGAAGAAGGUUAUAUCAGCCAUUCAAUUCAAGAAGGGAAUUAAAAGAGAAGAAUUGCCUUAUGUGGUGAUGCUAAUCUACAAAAGUGGAGAAAGCCAUGAUCCAAUACUUGUAGGAGUAAAGUUAAUUUUGGAGGAAUUCAAGGAUAUAAUGCCAAAAUAAUUACCUAAAGCACUGCCACCCUGACUAGCAAUUGAUCAUGAGAUAAAACUACUUUUGAGAGUCAAACUUUCUGCAAAGGGGCCGUAUAGGAUGGCUCCCCUAGAAGUAGCGAAGCUAAGGAAGAAACUUGAUGAGUUGAGACAAGUGGGAUUUAUUCAACCUUUAAAAGCACAUUUUAGGGCAUCGGUACUAUUUUAGAAGAAACAAGACAAAAGUUUACGAUUGUGCAUGGACUAUCGGGCUCUAAACAAGGUCACAAUAUAAAACAAAUAUCCUAUUCCUGUAAUAGCAUAUAUGUUUGACCAGUUGAGUCGUGCAAAGUAUUUCUCCAAAUUAGAUCUUAGGUUUGGCAAUCAUUAAGUUAGAAUUGCUUAUGGGGAUAAACCAAAAACCACUUGUGUCACAUGGUAUGGCGCAUUUGAAUUUCUUGUUAUGCCUUUCAGACUAACUAAUGCUCCUACCACAUUUUACACAUUGAUGAAUCAAGUUUUUCAUGACUACCUGGACAAGUUUACGGUAAUAUACUUGGACGACAUCAUAGUAUACAGCUCAACACUAGAGGAGCAUCAUAAACAUUUGUGAAAGGUGUUUUAAAGGCUUCAGGACAAUCAAUUACACAUGAAGAGAGUGUUGGCUCCAUUAGUUUUUGAUGAUAAUAAAACAUUCCCAUUUAUUUGUGUUUAACACCUUACUUGAGUGUGCAAGAAAUUAAUAUAUGAAAUUAAUUUAUUAACUCUUCAAAGAGUAUUUUUGAUAGAAAAAGAGGGAUAAAAUCAACAAGAUGUAACUGAAUAACAUGGAGAAAGCUUAUUGAUGAAACAAGGAAGAACAUUGGUUGACCAAAUUUCAAAUUGGAGAAAUGACGGGCUGAAGAGUUUGAGAAACAGACUCAAUUUAGUCAACCAAGUCAGUCCACUAAGUGCUCUUUGCCAGAAUCUGCAAACCAGAAACAGAACCAACUUAGUUAACCAAGUCAGUUGACUAAGAAGUCUUUGUUUGUAAUUUGAACUAGAGCACUACAAGACAAAUUAACGGCUAGAACUCAUCCUCAACUGUUUCCAACGGCCAUAAACUGUCAAAUUGCUAUUAGAGUUGCAUCUCCAAGUAUAAAAGGGUCUUCCAACAAUGAGAAACAAGUUUUUUGAAGCCUUGAAUGAGAUUUGAGCUAUAUAAAAUAGAAAAAAAAAACCAGAAAAGCUUCACUGCACCUUACUGCACUUAAACGCCAAUCUUUGUAAUAGAGUUCGACACUUCAUCUUGUACCAUCUAGAUCAAGUAAGUGAUCAUAAGUACUUCUUUAUUACUUCUCUUGUAUUCUUAUAGUGAGGGAGUCACUCUAAGGGGUUGUUCAAGCUUGGGAUAGCUUGAUUGUUAAAGGUUGUGGUUGAGCCUUAGAAAACCACAUUGGGUUUUAGUUGAGCUUGUGAAAAACUAGUGUAAAAGGUUUUUGGCUGAGCUUGGUAAAAGCCAUUGUAAAGCUUGGUGAAAGCUUGUGAAUUUCACCGAUCCAUAGUGGAUUUGUGAGAAAAUCCUUGGUUGGAUAAUCAAGGUAGUGGAUGUAGGUCUUGGACCGAACCACUCUAAAUUACUUUGCAUUUAUACUUUAUUUUUGUUUUCUUAAGUUAUGAAAAUUAGUUCCCAACUUUGUCAAGAGCCAAAUUAUGCUAUUCACCCCCCCUCUAGCACAUAUUAUCGGGACCAACAGAGAGAGAAGUGUGCUUUUACGCAAACUUGAAUUCAAUUUCUAGGCCAUAUCAUUGAGCAGGGUUACAUUCAAAUGGACAUGUAGAAAGUGAAGGCCAUUAAGGAGUGGGCGACCCCUAAGAAUACAAUCGAACUUGAUCAUUCUUGGGGCUAGGUAAUUAUUACUAGAGAUUUAUGGAGGGCUAUUCAAAAAAGAUGGUGGUGCUCAUAAAAUUGCUAAAAAAAGGACAGAGAUGGACUUGGACACUACAGUACGAAGCAACUUUCGAAGGCCUAAAAUAAGUAAUGAUGAUAGACCUUGUUUUAGCCCUUUUAGGCAUCGAAAAGCCUUUUAAGGUGCAUGCAAAUGCUAUAGACUUUGCUCUUGGGGGAGUACUGUUACAAGAAAGACAUGUAGUUAAGUUUGAGAGCCAUAAAUUGAACGAAGCUGAGAGAAAAUACACGACACGGGAGGAAGAACUACUAGUAGUGAUUCAUUGUUUACGAGCGUGGUGACACUACUUGUUGGGAUCUCAAUUCAUGGUUUAGACAGACAACACCGCUACAAGCCACUUUCUUACACAGCCAAAACUUACAGUUAAGUAAGCGAGAUGUCAAAAGCUUUUGGCUGAGUUUGAUUUCUCUUUUAAGCACAAGCCAAAAGUACCAACUGUGUAGUAAAUGCCUUCAACAGAAAGGUCGAGUUCACAGCUCUUAGGGUGAUCACGCUAAUGACAGUCAACAAAGUGAUCAUAAUAUCCAUAAUCUUAUUGAAGAAAACUUGCAUCGAGAUCCAUAAGCAAUCGCCAUUAUAAAGUUGGUGAAGAGUGGAAAGUCAAAAUACUUUUGGGUGGAAAAUAAACUCUUACUAAUAAAAGGACCACGUGUAUUUGUUCCAAGAUCGGUAAAGUUGAGACAGAAGUUGAUGCUGGAAUGUCAUGACACCUCUUGGGUAAGACACCUAGCUUAGUAGCGGAACGUUAUAAUACUGAAACAAGGUUACUAUUGGCCUCAUAUGUGAUAGGAUGUGAUGGAUUAUACCAAGAUGUGCCUCCUUUUUCAACAAGACAAAGUGGAUAGACAAAGACCGAUUGGAAUGCUUGAACCUCUACCAGUGUUGACUAAACCAUGAGAAAGUAUUUCUUUAGACUUUAUAGUAUGACUUCCUAAAGUGGGAAAUGUGACAGCGAUCCUGGUAGUGGUAGACCAUUUCUCCAAGCUCGUGAUGUUCAUCCUAGUGUAGAAGUUUGGUUCCAUAGAAGAAACAACUUGUACAGUUUUUAAAAAUGUGGUAAAAUACUAGGGUGUUCCUACGAGCAUUAUUAGUGACAGGGAUCCAAGAUAUACUAGUUUCGUAUGGAAAGAGCUUUUCAAGUUAUUGAGGUCCAAACUUAACAUAUCUUUUAGUUUCUUUUGGAACAUUUCAACGGGUUUCUAGAAAAAUAUCUACAACACUUUGAAUAGGCGAACCAGAAGAAUGGGCCCAACCUGCUAGAUGUGGCUCAAUUAUGUUUUAAUUUGUAAAAUAGCUCAGCCACUAAUAAAACCCCUUUCGAAGUUGUCACUGGAUAGCAACAUAGACUUCCUCUUACCUCAGUGGAAUCAUAUAGUGGGAAGAGUCCUCGAGUGUUCAACUUUGCUAAAAAGUGGAGAGAAAACACUAACAUCCUCAGAGCUUAUUUAGAGAAAGCCUCUAGUUGCAUGAAAAAGGUAGAUAAAGGUCGAAGGGAGUAACACUUUAGGUGGGAGACCUAGUGUUAGUGAAGUUGCUACCUGAACAACUUUGAAUCUUAAGGAUGAGAGAUCGAAGACUAGUGUAGAAGUAUGAAGGUCUAAUAUUGAUUAUGGCCAAGGUGGGGAAAACUUCCUAUAGGAUUGAUCCGCCUAAGUGGAUGAAGGUACAUCCCGUGUUUCACAUCAGCAACCUAAAGCCGUUCCAUACAGAUCCAGCAGAUGCAAGCAGUAGUCAAGCCACGAGAACCGCCAUCAACACUUUCACGAUCCAAAUUUCGAGUCAUGACCUGCGCAUGGGCCCAGUGGACAUAGUCCACUAAGCCCAAGCAAGCCUAUUAAUCUGACAUGUUCAUCAUUCCAUCAUAAACUACUAAGUCAUAUAUCAUAACUUAGAAUCAAAAUAAUAUUAAGCAUUGCCACUUCAUACUAGCAUACCAAACAAGUGUAUAUACACUGUCUACAUAUGUAUCUUAAUAAUUCACAUUAGGUUCGUCUAUACACAACAAAAAGAGACUGGAUGUCCAACGGAGAGACUCGAACGAAUGUACAGCUACUGAAUGCCGAGACACCUACCAAAAGAUGGAUACAAGCCCACGAGGAUACCUCGUCUUAGUUACCGACUGUUUCUUAAUCUGAAAACAUGAAGUUAAAAGUGGUGAGCAUAAACUCAAUGAGUGAACAAGAAGGGAAUAAGCAUACCAUAAGGAAUGUUUAUCGAAAUCAUGAUGCACUCAUUUUCUCAAAACAAUGCAAUUUGUUCUAGUUCUUAAUAGAACCCAUCAUGUAAACCCCUCAUGAGUAAAUCACUUAAAAGAUCAAUACUCAACUAUGGUACCAAAGAAUCGAAAAAUAUAGCAAAACCCACAAGUUAGCCAAAAUGGAUAGAAAGUUUCUCGCUGCCGCAAACUUCAUUCUCGCUGCAGCGAGAACCAGGUCUGGUGAAGGCCCUCAAACCCGAGAGUUUCUCAUUGCAGCGAGAGUCAGAACAUAAAGGAAAAAGUCUCAUUUUCCUUUAAAACAAGCCAUCCUGCUAAAAUAACAAUAGCAACAUGUAACACAUGUAAACUCCCCAAAUUUCAACAAAUCAAAUGCUCACAUAUUUGCAUUUACAACCAUAUACCAUAUAUGUAUAUAUAUAUAUAUCAUCAUGUACACCCUCCCAUCAUCAUCAUCUCAUAUGCAACGGCUUAUNNNNNNNNNNNNNNNNNNNNNNNNNNNNNNNNNNNNNNNNNNNNNNNNNNNNNNNNNNNNNNNNNNNNNNNNNNNNNNNNNNNNNNNNNNNNNNNNNNNNNNNNNNNNNNNNNNNNNNNNNNNNNNNNNNNNNNNNNNNNNNNNNNNNNNNNNNNNNNNNNNNNNNNNNNNNNNNNNNNNNNNNNNNNNNNNNNNNNNNNNNNNNNNNNNNNNNNNNNNNNNNNNNNNNNNNNNNNNNNNNNNNNNNNNNNNNNNNNNNNNNNNNNNNNNNNNNNNNNNNNNNNNNNNNNNNNNNNNNNNNNNNNNNNNNNNNNNNNNNNNNNNNNNNNNNNNNNNNNNNNNNNNNNNNNNNNNNNNNNNNNNNNNNNNNNNNNNNNNNNNNNNNNNNNNNNNNNNNNNNNNNNNNNNNNNNNNNNNNNNNNNNNNNNNNNNNNNNNNNNNNNNNNNNNNNNNNNNNNNNNNNNNNNNNNNNNNNNNNNNNNNNNNNNNNNNNNNNNNNNNNNNNNNNNNNNNNNNNNNNNNNNNNNNNNNNNNNNNNNNNNNNNNNNNNNNNNNNNNNNNNNNNNNNNNNNNNNNNNNNNNNNNNNNNNNNNNNNNNNNNNNNNNNNNNNNNNNNNNNNNNNNNNNNNNNNNNNNNNNNNNNNNNNNNNNNNNNNNNNNNNNNNNNNNNNNNNNNNNNNNNNNNNNNNNNNNNNNNNNNNNNNNNNNNNNNNNNNNNNNNNNNNNNNNNNNNNNNNNNNNNNNNNNNNNNNNNNNNNNNNNNNNNNNNNNNNNNNNNNNNNNNNNNNNNNNNNNNNNNNNNNNNNNNNNNNNNNNNNNNNNNNNNNNNNNNNNNNNNNNNNNNNNNNNNNNNNNNNNNNNNNNNNNNNNNNNNNNNNNNNNNNNNNNNNNNNNNNNNNNNNNNNNNNNNNNNNNNNNNNNNNNNNNNNNNNNNNNNNNNNNNNNNNNNNNNNNNNNNNNNNNNNNNNNNNNNNNNNNNNNNNNNNNNNNNNNNNNNNNNNNNNNNNNNNNNNNNNNNNNNNAAACAAGAUUUUCAUCAUUUUCAAGGGUUUUAAAGUGAGAGAGUGGAAGAAUACAAGGGUUCUAGUCAAAAGGGCACCAAGGUAUGAAAAUUAGAACUAGAGAGAGAAAGUUAUGAAAGCUUCACAUCAAGCUUCCAUGGAAGAAUUGAAGAAACAUGAAAAGGAAGAGAACAAGAAGAAGAAGCUGCUAGAAAUCCUAAGAAGUUGCUAGAAGGAGAGGAUAUUUAUGGCCCAAGCUUAUCCACUCCCUUGGAAAUUACUAAAAUGCCCCUCCAUAAAUUAGCUUAAUCCUUGAAAUCCCACACUUUUUCUUAAAUUUUCCCACCUAGGGUUUGUGUUGUUUCCUUUCCUCUUCACUUCAUGCUUUGGCCAACCAUAUGGGUGAGACUAAGAGAGUUUUAAAUAGAUUUUACAAGAAAAUUCUAGAAUAAUCCAAGCUUGACACAUGGCAUGUUUCCAUUGGUCCAUGUGUAGUACUUAUCCAUUAAGCAAUCUCUCUCCACCACAUAAAAUGUUUCAAUUAUCCACAAUGUAAAAUGUUAAUGGCUGAAAUCCAUGGGCAUGACAAGUGUCGGGUGGUGUAAAAUUCCAAAAAUUCCCAUUUUAUCCUCGGAUGACAAAAUUACCAUUUUGCCCUUAGAACAUGAAAAUCAUCAAAAUUUUUAUUUCCUUGUCAUUUCACCCAUAUUUUCAUCAUUCAUUUAUGCUUUAGGCCUACUUAAGCUAUAAUAUUGUUUAAAACUUACUUUUAUGGGCUUAUUGAGAAAAUGACGAAAUUACCCCUAAUUAGGGAUAUCGCGUAUAUUUCUAUCUAUGAGUCUAUAAAGGUCAAGGUCUCACAAACACCAAGCCAUCGUCACAGUACAAAGUAGAAAAGAUUUUGGCAAAGAGGAUGAUGAUAAUCAACUAAUGACCAACGUAGGAGUAUCUAGUGAGAUGGGAAGGUUUGGGACCAGAUGAAAUCACUUGGGAAAAAUAAGCCAAUCUUCGUGCCUUCAAGUAGAAGAUUGAAUAAUUCCAAGCCAACCAUUCAAUAAGGACGUCGACAAAUUAAAUGGGGGAAGAUGUCAUGAGCCAACUUUGUAUAGGGCUAUGACAAGGUAAAAUUCCUUAAGAGAUUAAGUCUUUUGUACCUCUAAGGGAGAUGUCCCCCCUUUCAAACAUUGUAAUGGAUCUUGGUGAAAAAUCUAAAAAUACUUGUUAAGUCUUUAGGGGAGAGAGCUUUUAGGAAAGGAAUGUCCCCAUCUCAAGCAUUGUAGUGGCUACUGGUGAAAUACUUGUAAAAUCUUGUAAACUCUUUAUAGGGGUGAGAAAUCAACAGGUUGUUGGGCUGUCUCACUAGUUCAGUUGCCAUUUAUGGCUAACCAUCUAAGGCUGCCCUUAUGGGUUGACAAUGGCACAUUCUUUCUUUUGGUCCUCUUGUGCUUAUUUGCAAUAUAUAACACUGGUGGUUGCAUAUAUGGCAUUCGGUAUGCCUUUUUUAUUUUAAUAUUACUUUCCAUGAAUUAACUCGUGGCUAUUAUUUAUCUUGUUUAGAUAUAAUCAAGCAACUGGCUAGCUUGAGCGGAAGCAUCAACCCAAGUGUUGCACGAACUAUCUUGUACUUAAGCGAAGAGGGCGUAGUCCGUGACACCUUAGCUCACCAAGGAAUUUCCAAUCCACUAAAAGGAUUCUUUCUUUUUAAUGGGAUCAAGUGAUAACCUUUACAGUUGUUUUUUCAUGGGAUUAAGGGUUAUACAUAUGCUUUUAACAGGAUCAAGGGUUAUACAUAUGCUUUUUAACGGGAUCAAGCGAUAACCCUUAUACUUGCUUUUUCAUGGAAUCAAGCGAUAACUCUUAUACUUGCUUUUUCAUGGAAUCAAAUGAUAACCCUUAUACUGGCUUUUCACGAGAUCAAGUGAUAACCCUCACAUUAACAUUUUAAGGUUAAGUUAGAACUUUUACAAAUGUGUGUAUAAUGGAGUAAUAGCAAAGAUUUGCCUCACAAAGGUCGAGUGCUAAAGAUUUAUGUUUUGGUGUACAAAGAGAAGAAAUCAAUCUCACAACAUCAGCUCAAGAUUUACAAGUGUAAAGCUUAAAUGGCUUUUGAAUGCUUGUUAGAAGACUAAGAUGAAUGCUUGAGAGGAAAGAUAAGCUUGAGGGUUUGUCUAGGGUUUUUACACUUUGGUACUGUCUUUUCUUACUUCAAAAUAAAUCAAGAGUACCCUUGUAUAGUCUCAAGGAUAUUUAAAGCUGUUAGAUACAAGUUUUAAUUAAAUCUGGUCAUUUCUAAAGCUUGGGGGUCGACUAUGACUCUUUAAGGGUAGUUCUUCAAAAUCUCAAAUUAGGGCUUCCAUACUCGACUCUUUAGGUCUUCUACUUAAUCCACUUAUAGCAGCUUGUGAUUUUUGAAGUCUGACUUGGUGUAGUCAACUAUAGGUGCUUGAAGGUUGACUAUGGCUUCUCAAAUCAUUGAUUCUUGCGAGUGUUUUGCUUCAGGGUUGAAUAUAGCUUCAUCAGGGUCGACAAUGAUGUCAAAAUAAGUCAAAAGUAGCUUUUUAUAGUCUUAAGGAUAUUUGGAGCUGUUAGACACAAGUUUGAAUUAAACCUGGUCGUUGCUGAAGAUUGAAGGUCAACUAUGACAUUUCGAGGGUCGACUAUGGUUCUUCAAAAUCUCAAAUUAGGGCUUCGAUACUCAACUCUUGAGGUCUUCUACUUAAUCCAUUUCCAAAAGCUUGUGAUUUUCGAAGUCUGACUUAGUGUAGUCAACUAUAGGUGCUUAAGGGUCGACUAUGGCUUCUCAAAUCAUCAAUUCUUGUGAGUGUUUUGCCUCAGGGUUGACUAUAGCUUUAUCAAGGUCGAUUGUGGUUGCUUAAAUCUUGAAUUGUACUUGUAUUUUGUCUCAAGGUUGGCUAUGGCUUCAUGUCUUUGUGAUUUUUCAUCCAUUCUUGCCACAAGAUUGACCAUAGAGCUUAUAGGGUCAACUAUGCCUUCUAUAUUUCAUAAUUCUUUAGUCAGUCUUCAACCAUUCUGCCACAAGGUCGAUUAAAGCUUUGUUAGGGUCGACUCUUGCCUUGUGUCAUCAAUAUUCCUUGACUUUUUGAUUAUUCACUUUAACUAUUUCUUCCAUGCUUCUUUUCUAUGAUUAAAUAUCAGUUGAAGCAUGUUUGCUUUAUAUUUACUUGGUUGAUGACUCAAUGUUUUGAAAAGCUUUGUGAUGUUUUCUAAUCAUGAAUUUGCUUUCCAAACAUUUGUAUAACCUUAAGAGGAUCAAAACAUGAUAUUAGUCAAUUUCAAAUGCUUAAGAUCAAAACCAAGAUAUUAUACAAUUUUGUCAAAUUGAAAGAUCUCUACCUAGGUCCAUUAAUCUCUAAGCCUUUGUUUGAAAACUUUAAGCUCAAGUGAGAAAGAUAUACAAAUGAAUAAGAACUUUUAACAAAAUCUCCUCCUCAACCUAUGCAUGAAGUUUCAAAAAGUUCAAAACAUUUAAGCUUUACCAAGAGUAUACAAGAGCAUUUUAAUCUGCUUAUAAAUCUUCUCCCCUUUUUUGUUAUAUAAAUAAGGUUAAGAAGUGUGAGUUUUAAACACUUAAACUCAAGAGGCAAUUAUUAGUGAAAAUAUAAAAAAUAUAUACGCAAUAAGAUCAAGGAUAUCUAACCAUCAAUCCAAAGCAUUACUAAGUCAAGAUAUAUUUCCAUUCAAUAUAUUCUCAAUCAAAACAUAAAGAAAUAUAUCCAUUCAUCUAAAGCAAAUAGCAACAAAUCAAGAUAUUUCUCCAUGUAAUGUAUUUCCAAGUGAGGCAUGAACGAGUAUAUCAACAUGUAGAUAUAUAUCAUUAAUCAAGGAAGCCACACACACACACACACAAGCAAAAUCAUGUGAGCAUUACAUCCUUAAAGUUCAUGAAAGUACUUCAUUGAAUAAGGUGCAAGUCUUGUAUAAUAUGAAUAAUAUAUAAUGUAGCAAAAAUACAAUAUGAUAACACAUGUACACAAAUGUAUUCAUAUAAAAAAUUGAUCAAAUAGUCAAAAAAUGCACCGAAAGGAUUAUCAACAAAUAACAUCAUUAGUUAGUCAAACUGUUUAAAACAUAUAGAUCAAUCAAUCAAAUAUACAAUGCACCAAAUUCAUUAUAAAAAGGAUAAGAAGCAUACUCAUGGUAUAUUUCAUCAUUUAAGCACAAGUAUGAGAUAUUGAUAAGUACAAGGUUAAUACGGAGUUUGAAAGAUAUCACCAUUUGAGAAAAACUCUAUUUGUUAAUUUUCGUUAAGCUCAUUAUUGAAGAUUUCAAGUACACAUGAGUCAUAAGAUAAUAUCGAUGAUCAACUCCCCCUUAAAAGUUCAUUACCCUCAAUACUAACAAGAUGAACAUAAAACAUCAAGGUGAAGGGGUAAAGUAUCCAAUCACGUUAUAACAUAAUCUGAUCCUCCCUUAGAUGGAUCAAGAGAUCAAAGAAUUGUUAGGGAUUUAAGGAUUAAUCAUGAGCAUGCGAUAAAUGAGUAUUGUGAGACCCUGUCAAACUCGAUUAAAACACGGUAUUGUACCGAGUGGUACAACUAAGUUAAAUCGAGCCUUGAACUAGUUCAAAUAGAAAUUCUAAGAGGAAAUUGAAAAUUUUGAAAGCCACAGAAUGACUUAGAAUAGUGAUUCGGAAUUCAAAGUCCAAUUUGAAGUCCAUCAGAAAAAUUNGUCGUGACAAGUAUGUAAUUUGAUGUUCAACAUGUAGGUGUAAUACUCAAAUAUUCAUGGAACUAAGAAAGCAUGAGUAUCUAAAUAGAUAUUUGAUAUAUGCAUCAACUACUCAUAUUCUCAAGAUAUAUGUGCAACGUAGUUCCUAGGUAAAUCCAAGAUGUUUUGCACUUGUUGCAAUCAUGUAGAGCAAUAUUAUGACCAAUUAAGCACAAGCAUGAUUUCACUUUCCAAAAUGAAUAAAUAGUCAUGUAUUUAAAUGUGCAAUCAUUAAAGUUCAAGGUACAUGCUAUUUCUCAAUGCUUUAUGAUUCAUGAGUGAUAUCAAUUGUUAUGAAAUAUUAGAAAUAAAGCACGCAACUCAUGAAUAUAUUUAACAUAAGCAUCCAAUCAUCAAUGAAUGUCAAUUAUCAAGAUUCAAGAAAUAAGUAUUCAGUCAAAGCUCAUUAGGCAUUCAUUGUUAACUCAAGUUAUAGGCCAUUUUCAUUUUAAACUUCAAGUUAUUCAUAGUAACCUAUAAGCUAAAGUUCGAUGCACAUAAAGUCUUAGAAUCAUGUAAAAAUUUAAGCUCAUGGAAUACAUAGUCAAGAUUCAAGUGCAUGUUCAAAAAAUAUUUCAACUAUGUCAACACACUAUAUGUCAAGUCAAGUUUUGAUUUUGAUUAAUAGGGUCAAGCAUUAUUAAUUAUCAUGUAAGCAUGUGACUUGACCAAAAUGAUAGAUGAACCAAAAAUAAUUUUCAUGACGUUCAAUGAGCUCAUUUUAAUCACAUUCAUAUGCACAAUCAAGAAGUUAAUUUUGAAUCAUUUAAUCAAACCCAAACAUAAGAUAUAUUUCAAGAAUUGAUUCUAGACUAAGCAUUUGAACAUUCAAAUUCUCAAGAAAUGAUUUUUCAAUGUAAGCACAAGAGUUUCACAUUACUUAAUUUUUUUUUUCAAUUAUGCUCCAAAUUAUUUAUGAGGUAUGGGCGUAAUGAAAUAUAUUUAUGCAUAUUAAUGAUCAUUUCCAAAUAUCUCAUAAUCAUGAACUAAAAAUACCCUUAUGACUAUUCAAAUUUGCUAGUGACCACAUGCAUUCAACUAGGAAACAAAAUUAUUCUAUCCAUCAAUCAAUAUAUUUAAUUCAAGGAAGAGUGAACAAAUAAUUAUGCACUUUGAUACUCAAGCAAGACUAGGCAAUCAAAUAUCUUUAAUUAAAUAAAUAAAUAACUUUUGGUAUAGAAAUCACUGUUAGCUUUAAAAUUAUUAUAGUUUUGAUUAUGACAAAAUGAUCAAAUUUGCUUGAACAUUAUUUGAGUAAUCCUUGACAAUUUCUUGAAAUGAUUUAGCUCCCAUACAUUUGUUCUUACAUAGUUACAAGCUUGACUCUUGAGGUUAUUGAACUAUAUCUAAAAGCUUGUAUGACUUAGGUGUAUGAGUGCUUAUGAUUCCCAUUCAUUAAAGUUUGAUUUAAAGAUUAAAGGAAAAUUUAGAUGCACUCAUUAAAGGGAAGUUUGGAAUAUCAUUUUUAAUGAUAACAAAAAAAAGAGAAGGAAGACUAAGUUAAAUAGAGUUUGAUAGGUCUUCAUGUUUAAUUUUUAUGUGUGAUGCUUAGUUAUGGUUUUGUUGAAUAUUAUGUGCCAGUUAUUAUGGAUAUUCAAUAAAUCUUGCUUAGUUACUAUGGAUAUCGUAUAUCUUAUUUAACUAUUAUAGAUGUUAUAAAUAUUUUAUUGCAAAUCUUUAAAGAAAACUAGAUGCAUUAACUAAGGAGAAGCAACUCAUUAUGCAUAAAGAUUUGAAGCAUUCAUAUUGAACAUAGACAUUGCACUCUUAACGAGGAGUGUUUUGUCAUCAUCAAAAAUAAGAGAGAGAGAAUGUUGACUCCAUAUGUUUUUGAUGAUAGCAAAACAUUCCCAUUCAUUGUGCCUAAUUAUAUUGUUUAAGUGUGCAAGAGAAAGCAAGUCAAGAUGCUUGUUCAGUUGCAAGAUGGGUUAAUUGGUCAAACAAGCAAAAAAGAAAUAGCUUUAAUGAAGACAGAUUAGUCUUAACCGAUUAACACAAAUCCUUAAUCAAUUAAAGCAAUUCUGGGCAAUACACUAAGGACAGAAAGAAAAGGCUUAAUUGGUUAACAUAAGGUUUAAUUAGUUAAGAGGGUGCUAGAUGUAAACUAGAAGCCUUUUAAUCGGUUAAAGGAAAUGAGUUAACUGGUUAAAGGUUAAAGAUAAAGUGUCAAGAAGCGCCAAAAUUCAAAUUCAAAAUAUUGAUGACCGUCCAAGGCACCAAACCAAGAGAUUUAAAGUUGAAGACUUCUUAAUUGGUUGGAGCCCAUUUUAAUCAGUUAAGGAUGAAUGGAGAAGCUUCAAUCAAUUAAAUGGAGUAUUAAUCUGUUGAAUGGAGGUUGGCUAAAAAUAGUACUUGAAGGUGCUUGAAACAAAAAGUUGUUAAGUAGUUAAAGCUACUUUUAAUUGGUUAACAUAGAGAAACAGACUAUGAGAUAGAGAUGACUUAAUCGACUAAAAAUUAUGGUUAACCAACUAAAAGCUCACUAUCUGAAAUUUGAAUUUAAGCACAAAAGGACAAAAUAACGACCAGAAAUGACUAGUUUCUGUCUUCAAUGGCUAGAAGUGAUUUUGCAAGUAUUUAAAGCCUCUCCAACAGUCAAAAAUGAUAUAGAGAAGUUAUCCAAAGUGAUUUUGAGCAUAAAAGACCAAAAACCUUAUCUUUACACUUGCAAAUCACUCCCAUCCUUUGAAAAAGUGUUUGAGCUUAACUUUGUACAUCUUAGAUCAGCUAAGUGAUUAAUUGGACUUCAUCUUUUCUCUAUUUCUUGCUUACUUAGAGUGUGCGAGGCACUUUAAAGGGUUGAUCAAGCUUGGGUUAGCUUUGUUGUUGUUAUAGGUUCUAACUUAGCCUUAGAAAAUUUAAUUUUGGGUUUUCGUUGAUCCAGUGAAAAACCAUUGUUAACAGAUGUGGCUAAGCCUAUAAAAAGCCAUUGUUUUUUGGGUUUUGGUUGAUCCCGUGAAAAAUCAUUGUUAAAGGUUGUGGUUGAGCUUGUGAAAAGCCAUUGUAAAAGCCUGGUGGAAGCUUGGGAAUUUCGUUGAUUUUAGUGAAUUGGUUUGAAAAUCCUUGAUUGAGAGAUCAAGGUAGUGGAUGUAGGUCAACGGGACCGAACCACUAUAAAUCAUUGUGUUUUGUCUACUUUCUUUUAUUUUCUUCUUACUCUUAGCACUUAAAUCAUUCCUUCAGCAAGCUUUAAACUUCCAUUUUCAAAUUCCUUUAAUUAGCUCUUUACUUGGAAAGAAUUUUUGUGUCAUUCCAAAAGUGCUAUUCACUCCCCUUUUAGCACUCUAUUUCGGACCAACAAUCACUAGCAUUCCUUUAUUUGUCAAGGUGCAUUCUUUUUCAAGAGCUCGUUCCUCCUUGUUCUAGCACAUUUAUAGAAAAUAUUCUCAUUUGAUUUUUGGUAUCCAAAUUUCUUUGGAUCCUUGAGGAUUAGUCUCAACAAACAUAUGCAUAAAGACAGUAUUUAAACAUUGAAGAUAAAUCAAAUAAUAAGUGCACUAAAAUAAUGAAUUCAUGAAAUUUCAUACUUCUAAUGUCUUUCAUUUCCUUUCACAAUACUUUUCAAUUUUCAAUUUUCUUCUUCUAAUCGAUCAUAAUUUCUUUUAAGCAUUUCAACAUCAAUUUUUAGCAAAUUGUCUUCUUCCAUCAAUGAUUAAUUUUCAGUCCUAAGCUUUCAAAUAAAACAAAUGCAACCGCAACCUUCCUUUCUCUUGCGAUGACUUCCCUCUAUUUCCAUCUUCAACCUAAACUUUGGCCAUUGGAUGGAUGGCGAAUCCACUAGGCAAAAUGCCAGUGACAUCUCCACCAUCGAUAUCCCCACGAACCCUAAAAAAUCUUUUUUUUUUCAAUAACAACCAAUGAAAAAAAACCCAUAAUUCCCAUUACUUGAGCCCCUAAAUGUUACAAAGACAAACCUAUAGUGGUUUUCUUUUUAGAUAAAAUUAAAGUAGUUUCUCAAUCGUUUAAGGAUUUUGUCAUUCGAAAGUUCUAUUGAGUGACAAGGAUUGAAGAGAUAAGACAACCUUUCAAGGAGAUCGGAUUUCUAGUGUCUAUAAUAUCUGUUGGCUUAAUUAUAAACAUAUACUUAUCCACUAGACAAAUGAACAUGAUUUCAAGAGAAUAUGAGCAAAACAGAUAUGGUUUAUCUCAAACCAAAAAAAGAGAAUGUUCAAGUGGAGUUCGAAUUUCAAUUUAAAAAAAGAAUCCUCCAUCAUUCUAGUUUGGAUUUCAUUCCCAAAUGACCCACAUCUCUUUGAAAAGUUUGCUCUAAUGGUAUUUGCAAAAAUGAUUAGAAAUCCUCUUUAUGUAGAUGAGUUUAUUGCAAAUGAAACAAGACCUAGCAUUGCAAGAGUUUGUGUGGAAUAUGAUUGCCUAAAACUGCUAGUUGACUUAAUUUGGAUAGUAAUCCGUGAUCACCAAACAAGCAUGAAUUUAGGGGGUUAUUAUAGUACCUCGUACUUUGAGGUGGUUGCUAAUAAUGCUUACUGGCUGCUAAUUGAGGUUGAUUAUCGAGAAAAAGGGGUAAUUCAUAAGUGAACCUGUGAAACCCCGACCUCUAUAGACACGUAACUAGAAAUAGACGCGAUAAAAAUGACUAGGGGUAAUUUCAUCAUUUUCUUUAGUGAGCCCUUAGAAGUAUGCUUUCAAACAUUAUUAAGGCUUAAGUAGGCCUAAGGCACAAAUGAAUGAUGAAAAUAAGGAUAAGAUGACGAAGGAAAUAGAAAUAAUGAUGAUUUCCAAGGUAGGGGCAAAAUGGUCAUUUUGCAUCUCGGGUCUAAAUUUUUAAGUUUUCGUGAACUUGAGUACUUCUUGACCAUUAUGGACUUUGUCUCAGUGUCUAAAGAGUAAAAAGUUGAACUAAAGGAAAGAAAAAGACAAAGUCACCUUAUGGAGGGCAUUUUGGUAAAUUACAUGAAAAAUUGGAUAAACUUUAGAUAUAAAUAUCUAAAGCUCCAGCAACUUCCAGCAGCUUCUAGCCAUUUCUUCUUUCCUUCCCAUCUCACGUUUCUUCAUCUCCAUGGGAGCCUCCCUUAAAGCUUCCAUAGCUUUCUCAAAUUAACUUCAAUUUACAUGCUUUGGUGCACUUUUUCAUAGAACCUUUGGUGCUUUUUCACUCUCUCACCUUAAAACCCUAAAAAGUCUUUCUUUAGCACUUUCUCUCACUAGUUGGAAGUUUUAGAAAAAGAAAGAGAGACUUGCCAUAGUAGCUUAAAAACUCUUGAAAAGGAGUUCAACUACAAGUCCACAAGGUGAAAGAAGAGUUAGGGUUGAUUUUAGGUGGUUAAAGAUGGCUAAUAAUUAGAAUUGUGGGCUGUUAUAUUUUGAUGGUUAUAUUGUGUAUGAUAUGCUCCAACGAGGCCUCACAUGUCCAUUUGAAGCAAUAAUCGAAGUUAGAGUCGAUUAAAGAUUCAACAAAUACAGGUGAGUGAACUUGCAUCAAAGUGUUUUUGGAAAAUACAUAUGUGUUGGGAUGAAACAUUUAAAUGAUUUUACUUAGUUUUUCAUUAAAUUAUGCAUGGGAACAAGCCCUUGAUAAAAUGUUUUGAUGUUAAGAAAAUGUAAAAUGUGUAAAAAAAUGAAUCCAUGUGCUCCUAUGUUAUGUUGGUAUGUAUAUAUAUGAAUAUAUGUUGUGCAUUGAUGAAUAAUGUUGUGUGAUAAUGAUGACCCGACUAUGUGUGAGUAGGGAGUGCACAUAAGCUGAUGAUGACCAAGCUAUGUGCGAGUAGGGAGUGCGCAUAAGCAGAUGAUGACCCGGUUAUGAGCGGAUAGGGAGUGCACAUGAUGAUGAAUGAAGUGGGGUGGUGUACGUGUUUAUAUAUGUUUAUAUAUGUAUAUGUGAUAGAAAGUUUAUGAUUAUAAUAUGUGAUUGAAAUGAAUAAUGAGAAACUUGAUUAUUAUCAAUGUGUUCACUUUGAUGUGCAAUAUGGUAAGAAUGGAUUUUGUGGCAUGUGAAAAUCCCUUAAUUGUCAUUUGCUCUGAAUCCCGUUGCAGCAAGAAACUCUCGGGUGGUGGGGGCACAAACUAGCCCUGUUUCUCACUACAGUAAAAAAGAAUUCUAGCUGCAACGAGGAAUUCACUGCAGCGAAAAUGGAUUCUCGCUGUAGCGAGAAACUCUAGGGUGGUCCCAAAAUUCUAGUGCAGUAUUUCCACUUUGACAGCAAUUUUGACCACCUUUCAUUCAGAACUAGGAAAAGUGGUAACAUAAAAGUUUUAUCCCAGCCUCUUAUCUUUCUAAUGGUGCAAAAAUCAUGUCAAUUGGACUUCUGUAGUGUGAGAUAUGCUUGAAAAACCGAAACAUAUGCAAACUAAGAUUGUUUCUCACUGCAGCGAAAAACUUGCUAUCCUGCUUGCUACCUUGCUGGAUUUUGACAUAUUUUUCACCCAUUUAACUUCAUGGAUUGAUCAUGGGUUUUUGCAACACUAUGAGGUUAUUAAUCAAAGUUUAAAAUGAGGGGUUUUUUAGUGAGAAAUUAAAUCAAUUGCAUUAUUUUUUAAACAAGUGCAUCAUGAUUUCCAAAUUCUCCUUAUCGAUUGCUUGUUCCUUUCUUAUGUUCACUCACUGAGUUUUAUACUCACAUUUUUAAACUACAUGUUUUCAGAUUUGGAGGCAGUUGGGACCUAGAUUGAGUUGUCCACGUAUGCUCGCCUUCUUGGUAGGUACUAUGGCAUCUCAGUAGCUGUACCUUGACCCACGGUCACUCCGCUGACGGUCAAGGGUCUGUUACCUGUGAACACGCAUAUGUUAUGAAAUCCUCUAGUAUCCAUGUUAUAAGUCAAAUAGGUAUAUUUGAUUACUGAUGCCACUAGGAGUUGGCAGACGGGUGACAUUACUUUGACAUAAUAAAAUUGUAAGUAUUGGGUCACUAUAAAAUGUUACUAAAAUAUGUUAGUAGAGAAUUACAAUAUGUGGUUUUAGAAAUGAUGGUUGGGAAUGAUGAUCGAGAUUGUAUAAAAAGGCUUGCUUGGGCUUAGUGGGCUAUGCCCAUUGGGCCCAUGAGUCGAUCAUGGCGCGAGAUUUGGGCUGUGACAGUUAUGCACAAAAGGUGAAAUUUGCAAGGAUGCCAGAAUAUUGUCCUCACUGUUCUUAUGUUGGUCAUGCUGUUUCUAAUUGUAUGGUGUUAAGUAAUAAUAAAAAAAAUUCUAUCAUUGCUAAAUCAAAGGCUAUGAAGAAUGAUAAGCCAACUACUGAUUUGCUUAAGGGUCCUUUAAAGGAAGUAACAGCCCUAGGGGAAGGUCUCCAUGAUGACCUAGAAAGACAAGAGAAGCUUGUUGUUCAUUUUGGUGAGAAAAGAAAAAAAAACUGUGAAGGUGGCUAAUGGAGAACAAAAUUUGCAAUGGAAGAGAAGGAAAGAAACGACAAGAGUAAGGUGAAAAAUUUAAAAGGCAUGGAGAUUAUUUCUGAAUUUCCAUAUACAAAGACCCUUAUGCUAGAAGCGUCAAAUAUAUUCAUUGCAAUUGCCAUUGCAGAAGAGGAAAAAACAAAAAAUGAGGAAAUGUAGGUUGAAAAAAUCACCGAAUAGAAUGAAAGAAAAAUUUCAAAAUUUUUUUGGUACUUCCACGGAUUUUAUAAUGCCUGAAGAUGCAGCUAAGAUUGUCCCCAAUAAUGGAAAAAUGCCAAACAUGGUGUAGGAAAAUUUUAAAAAUUUUUCUCAUGGACCACAAGAUGUGCAUGAGCCAAGAAAUAAUGUUGAAAGCUUCUCUAAUGACAUGGGAAUCUAGAAUUAGAAUUUAUUGGAUGAGGAAAAAUCAAAAUGGGCUUAAAAUAACACUCAAAAUGUCACUAAACAUAAAAAAAAAAAAGAGGAAGGAAAAAAAAGUUUAUCCUCUUAUUGCCACGGCACUUCAUGGGGAAAACCAAAAUGUUUCCAAUGCUAAUAGUGUUAACAAUUUGCAAAAUGUUUCAAUUCCUUCCAAUAAAGAAAAUUCUAAAGGUAAGGAGAUUAAAAUUCAUCCAUCUUCUUUUCAGUGUAAAAAGUCAAAUAGUGAUAUUCUUUAUGUUCCGGAGACUAUUGCUGAUGAACAAGGAAAUACAAGACAAAAAGGUCUUGUUUGUGAUAGUGGGUAUACCUCCAUAGAAUCUACUUCCUUUUCUCAAUGAUAAAUUGCAUAAUCUAGAAUACUCGAGGUAUUGCAAGUAAAGUUAUUCAAAGGUGCUUAAAAAAUUGAAACUUAUGCCUAAUUUAAAGUUUCUAGUUAUUAUAGAGCUUAUGGUUGAUGUUUCAAGAAUUAAUUUCUUUCGUCAUCGUUUAGGAUUUGAGGGAGCUACUUAUAAUUGUUCUAUGAAAAUUUGGAUUUUUUGGACUAAUGACGUUGCUUGUGAAGUGUUAAUCGAUCAUGUGUUGUGCUUACAUGUCGGAUUAUCUACCCUAAGGCUUUUGAACCUUGUUUUGCAUCUUUUGCUUGUGCUAAGUGCACACAAACAGAAAGAAGAGAAUUAUGGGACUGCCUACGUUUUAUUUCUACAAAGUUGAGGGAGCCUUGGCUCAUUAGUGGUGAUUUUAACACUUUACUAAGUAGUGAAGAACGAUUGACUGGUGUUAUACCGAAUAACGGCUCCAUGUAAGAAUUGCUUCAGCCAAGUUAAAUUAUGGUCUCUUGGAUAUCGGAUAUGAAGGUAAUCCAUAUACAUGGGCUAUCUCUACUAGUUUUUAGAGGCUUGAUAAGGUUUUAUACAAUAUUGAAUGGUCUGAAUUUUUUCUGCUACACGUGUUCAAGACUUUGCAAGGGAUGGUUCCGAUCAUUGUCCAUUACUUGUAUCAUGCUUUAACAUAAUGGCAAAAAGUCCUUCUUCAUUUCAAUUUAUGUAGGCAUGGGUGAAGAUCUAUGAUUUUUUUUUUAAAUUUGUAGAAGAAAAUUGGAACGCUUUUAUCUAAGGUUCAAGGCUUGUAGUUUUUUGGUUGAAGUAACGGCGGCUUAAGAGUGGAUUGGAAUGGUGGAACAAAGCUGUUUUUGGUGACAUUUUCUCUAAGGUGUAGGCUGAUAAAAAAAGGCAUCAGAAAGUUAGUUUUUUUUAUCAGAAUGAUCAAAUCGUAACUAAUAGAGAACAAAUGCAUCUUGUUGAUGCUAAAUUAAAUCACAUAUUGAGCAUUAAGGAGAAUUUUUGGCAACAAAAACUUGGUGUGAAAUGGACAGUAGAAAGGGAAAGAAAUAUGAAAAUUUUCCAUAUGAUUAUGUGGAAAAAAAGGAUUCAGAAUCAUAUCUUCGAAAUUUGAGAGAGUGAUGGGGAUAUGGUUGAAGAUCCUUCAUUUAUUCAAAAUUUAGCAAUGGAAUUCUUCUCUAAUCUCAUGAAGCUGGAGGAACAUGAUAUUUCAAUGUUUAACACUUCUUUAAUUGCAUCUAUAAUUUCCAUGGAUGAUAAUAAUUUUUUAUGUGCAAUUCCAAGUUUUUCAAAAAUUAAAGAAGCAAUAUUUGAUAUUGACAAAAUUAGCAUCACAGGUCGGGAUGGUUUUUCUUCAUUAUUUUAUCAGUUUUUCUUCGUUAUUUUAUCAACAUUGCUAGAAUAUAAUCUCCAAAGAUUUAUUGGAUGAGGAAAUUGAAUUUUUUGGACGCUGCCCUAGGGUGUGACGUCUACUACACUAGUUUUGUUGCCCAAAAAUUCUAAUCUUUUGUAUUGGAGUGAUUUUUGACCUAUUAGCUUAUGCGCUAUCUUUAACAAGAGAAUAACUAAACUCCUUGCUAAUCGUAUAUCAAAUCUUGUCCCAAGUAUUAUUUCAGAUAAUCAAAAAGGCAUUGUUAGUGGAAGGCUAAUUGGUGACAAUAUCCUCCUUCCUCAAGAAUUAAUGCACAAGAUUGAUCAUAAAGUCCGUGGUGAGAAUGUAGCCUUGAAGCUUAACAUGUUAAAGGCAUAUGAUCAACUAAAUUGGGAGUUCUUAUAUGUUAUGAUGCGACAUUUUGGAUUUAAUGAGUAGUGGAUUGAUAUGAUAUGCAGAUGCAUCUCGAAUUGUUGGUUUCACUCCUUUUUAAUGACAUCUCAGUGGGGUACUUCAAAUUCGGAAAGGGGUUGUACCAAGGUGACUCCAUAUCGCCUGCUCUUUUUAUCUUAGCUGUCAAAUAUCUUUCUAAGGAAUUGAAUGCCCUUUAUCAAAGCUAUCCAUCACUGCAUUACUCUUCAGGAUGUCCUAGGUUACUAGUCACUUAUCACUUGCAGAUGAUAUUAUUAUUUUCACUAAUGACGAUAGUUCAACAUUGAGAAAAAUAUUGAAUUUUUUGAAAGAAUAUGAAUGGUUAUCAAGGCAAAAAAUAAAUUAGCAAAAGAGUUGCUUUAUCACUAGCAAUAAAGCUACUAAUUCAAAGAAUAAGAUAAUUCAAUUAACUGCGGGUUUUAUUCAGAAAAUGAUGUUGAUUACUUACUUUGGAACUUUAUUAUAUAAAGGUACGAAAAAAUCAUUUUUAUUUGAUUCUCUAAUAACUAAAAUGAAAGAUCGUAUUUCAAGAUGGGAGAAUAAAAUCCUCACACUAAGAGGAAAGAUUGCUUUGUUGAGGAGCGUCCUCUCUUCAAUGCCGAUAUACUUGCUAUAGGUUCUUAAACAAUCGUUAUAUGUAAUUGAAAAAAUUGAAAGGUUGUUUAAUAGCUUUUUUAGGGUGAUUCAACAGCCUCUAAACAUAUUCACUAGACUACUUGGAAAAAAUAUGUUUCCUUGAUAAUGAAGGUGGCUUAGAAGUUUAAAGACUAGCAGAUGGUUUUGAAGCGUUUAAUCUCAAAUUGUUGUGGCAUUUUCAUACUUUUAAUAGUCUAUGGGCACAAUUCAUGGAGGCUAAGUAUUAUGGUGGCAUAAUUCUGAUGCAAGAAAAAAUCAAGAUCCUUGACUCUCGUACAUGGAAACAUUUGAAAGCAAGAUGUUGAAUUGCAGAAAAGGACAUCUAAUGGAAGAUAGGUAAAUGAGAGCUUUUUUUUUUGGCGUGACUAUUGGAUAGGGGAACAGCCUUUGGUAAACUUUUUCCCUUCCCAAUUACAUUCGCAUCUUAAAGUUCAAAAUGGUAAUGUUAAAUGGGAUGUGGAUAAAUUAAAGCUUUCUCUAUUUGAAUUUUUUGUUAAGUAAAUAGUUGAAUUCUUAUUGAAAAUAAUAGUGAGGACGUUGCAUACUGGGUCCAUUUUUCUAAUGGCGAAUUUAGUGUUGGGAUUCGACCUCAUGCUCAAACAUGAAAUAAUCAAGAAGUUAAAAAUGUAAAGUAGUGAAAUAAUAAACUAGCAUUUAGUCAGAGAAAUAGUCGAAUCCUACAAGAUCAAUGUUUGUAUUUUUCAUGUAAUUUUCAAAUUAAUUAUGAACAUUCAUAAGUUUAUUCUAGAUAUCGUAAUCAAGAGCCAAUUAAAUCAAAAACGCUUGUGAUGAAGCAGGAAAUCCCGAAAAGUGAAUAAGAUGGUCUAAAAUCUUGCAACCAAAAUCUUUACUUCUUCACCUUUAGGAUUUGUCAAAUCUUUAGCCACUUAAGUGUUUGGCCUCUAACAGUAAUCCACACAGUAACCGAAUUAGACCUUUUCAAAGCUAGGAUUUUACUUGUGAUUGCAAGUUUUGUUUCUAAAACAAGAAAGACAAAAAAUUCUUGUCGAAUCUUGUUUCUAUAAGACAAAGAAAAACUAUUUUUCUUUUCUUAUUUUUAUGAAACGGCUAAGAAGUGACUAGAGGCUUGGAGUUUUAGUUUGCUAGCAUAACAUAUUUAUAUAGCCAAACUAAGUUGUAACCCUAGAUACAAAAGUUGUAUUUUAAUUCAAUUAAAUCAUUGUGAACUUAAUUAAUUUCUCACUUUAUUUUGGUCUAUUCCAAUUAAGUCCAACUUAAUUGAUUAUCCUUAUUUAAUCUCAAUCAUGUCACUUAAUGUGUGUGACCCAUUAGGCUUCUAACAUGUUGGCAAUAAAUAUAAAUCCUAAUCAAAUAUCAAUUUGAUAAUUGAUUUAUAUUUAUAGAUCAUGUCGUCAUCUAGCAAUACAUCAUGACCACCCAAAUGUUAGAAAGUCAAUUAAAAAAUUUGACAAAGCCAUUCAGUGAUAAGCUUCUCAGUGCAAUACAAUCCUUUCACCAAAUAUCUCGGAUAUGUGAUAAAGCAUGGCUCAAUGUCUUCUUAUAACAUUCUAUAUUAGUUCUCAUAAUUCAUGACUAACCUUAUGAAUUUAGGAAACUAACUUUCCUCAAAUUCAUCAUUCUUUGGCCAAAGACUUUAUACAAGUUAAUCAAGAAUUGAGAACAACUGAGAUACAUCCCCUCAUAUCACUUCGGGUGAUGAAUCCUCUAUUGACCACCCAUUCACCUUCGCAUGUUUCAUGGCAUACCUAAAAACAACCUGUUUAGGCAUUUGGUCGCCUCAGACCCUUAGGGGUGAAAUCAAAGUAUGUCAUUCCCCAUACAAGAUGACCUAGUAUCUCAAGUCCAAGGACUAGUUGCACGACUAUCACAUGAGAACAUAUAUCAUAGACACUUGAGUGAAAUACCAAAUGGAGUUCUUAUAGCGGGUCAUAUUCAGUGAACUUGUUCUUUAACAAGCACCUACAUGUUAUCCUCAAGUAUCUCAUUUAUUUCAAUUUAUGAGAUCGAUUUCUUACUUCUCAAGUAAGGAAGCUUAACAUGUAUCAGUCUUUGAGCAUUGUCAAUGCCCUAUCUCGACAAUACAAUGACGAAAAACAAUUUUAGGAACAUGGCUUUGAUGCAUAGUGAUUUCAUAACUGUAACAACUUUACAAUCUCUUUCAAGGUCUUCAUGUUCCAUGGGCUUCAUCCAAUUAGUACUUAAUAACUCCUUAUUAUUGCACUAACAUGAAGGAAUAUCACAUAUAGUUAUGCGAUUAAGUAUGCAUUAAAUGAUAAUUUAUAUUCAUUGACCAAUCAAAUUGGCUCAAGGGCAUACACCAACAAUUACUACUAAGAGUGCAUGGGAUUUAAUCUACCAAAAACGACCACUAGAUAAUGCCUUUAAUUUAGUAUGGCACAGAAGUAUCCCAUUGACAAUUUCGUUCUAUUUGUAAAGAGUUAUUAAUGGAUGGAUACUUGUUAAAAUAUGCUUGAAAGCCAAGGGAUUUCAAUUAGCGUUUAAGUGCCAAUGUUGUCGUUUUGAAAAGACCCUACUUCAUGUCCUUUGGCAAAGUUCUGUUGCAUGCCAGGAUGGGAUUUCUUUGCUCAAUUUUUCUAAGUUUCUGUUAUUCAGCCUCAAAAUAUUAUGCAGGUGGUGUGGGCAUGGUACUAUUCAGGUGACUAUACAAAACAAGGACAUAUUCGAGGUUUAUUGCCCAUUUUCAUUUGUUAGUUCCUUUCGGUUAAGCAUAAUGAUGCUAAACACAGACAAUUAGGAUUGUAUCCAUAAAGAGUAAUAUGGAAAAUUAUGAAGAUACUGAAGUAGCUUUAUGAAGGGAAUCUAAUAUGCCAAGAGGAACCCGAAAGGUGAUUUACAAAUUGCUAAAUUGCGGAAUAUCAUCUUUUUGAAUCAACCAACCAUGCCACCAUAAAUCAUUAUGUGGUUGAAGCCUAGCUUGGAUGAAAUUAAAUGAAACAUGGAUGGGAGCUCAAAAGGCCAAUUUCAGAAUGCUGCAAGCAGUGUCGCACGUGACUAUACAAGUAUGCUUCUCUUUGGAUUUUUUGAAAAUUUUGGACCUCAUAAUUCUUUAAAAGCCAAAUUCCUUGCACUUCAAAGAGGACUUAUCCUAUGCCGUGACCACAAUAUUUCUAAAAUUUGAAUUGAGAAGGAUGCCAAAGUGGUAGUGAACAUGAUAUUAGAAGGGACUAUCGGAUCAUACAACAUUCGGUAUAUCUUAGCUUCCAUUUGAAAAUGCUUACAUCAUUUUACUUAUUAAAUCACUCAUAUCCAUCCUGAAGGCAACCAAGGUGUAGAUUCCUCUCCAACCAAGGCUAUACACAUCAAGGACUUAAGGUUUCUUUAAUGUCGAAGGUGAACUAAAUGGUAUCUUAAAGCUAGAUAGAAUUAAUUUACCUUAUGUUAAAUUUAAACAUAUGUAAGGGAGUAGUACUCUUUAUUUUUUUUAUUUCUUGUAAGCAAGUUAGAGUAUUUAAUUGUUGUCGGAUUAUCCAUGCAAGUGCAUGUAUCGUUAAACAAGCAAUAUAGUGAAAAGUAGAGUGUUGAUCCCAUAGAGAAUUGAAUUAAUUUUUACUGUUAACAAUUAAAAUUAACACACCUUAAUCUUAUUCAAACAACUAAAUUUAAAUUAUUAAAAAACAAAAUUAAAUCUUAUAAACUAUAACUAAAACUAAUCUAAAAUUAAUUAGCAAAUGUGUUUUAAAAACUCAAUCAACUACCAAUCCUAAGAUUACAAUAUCUCUCAAUAUUUCGUCUAAAUAUUUUAUCUCGCUCUCUUAACUUACUUCAAUGGAUUAAGUUACUAACCUAAAGUCCUAGAUUAUUAUAAGUCUUUGUCGAGGUUCUCAUAACAUAUCUUUCCCAAUUAACUCACUAUAUGUUUAUGCAAAUAAAAUUUAAGAACAAUUAAUUAAGUUCAUGCUCUAAUCUUGGCUACGUCUGGCUUAUAGGUGUAUGUCUACCCUAUAUGCAAAUCAACCACCUAAAUAACUAAGUGCAUUCGAUCAUAUGUUAUUCUAUUUUGUUGACUCCAUUUGUUUUUUAUGAUAACAAAACAUUCCACAUUCAUUAAUGUCUAAUCUUGUUAUUAAGUGUGCAAGAUUCAAUUUAACACCUCUAACAAGUUGUUAAUUAAAGGCAAGUCAAUGAGCUUGUUAAGUUUAAUAAGAGUUAAUCAGUUAAGAGGCAAAUAGCAAGUAAUGAACAAAAACAGAACCUUAAUAACUGAUUAUCAAGAUACCUUAAUCAGUUAAGGCAUGGCUGUGUGAUAAGCUAAAGCAAAACAAAAAUAUGUUAAUCGGUUAAGAGAUCAGGUUAAUCGGUUAGAGCACAAGGUCCUAGUAUCUUCAAGCGCCAAAAACAAGUUUGAAAAGAUAGUUUACUGUUGAAGGAAGCCAAAAUGGAGAAGUUUGAAAUUCGAAGAUCUUCUAGUCGAUUAAAGCUAAUUUUAAUUGUUAUGGUUGAAAGAAGUAAAGCUUUAAUCAAUUAAGGGAAGAGCUAAUUAAUUAGAGGAAGACUCUUGUGUAGAGAAGUGAAAAUAGAAAGUUUGUAAUCGGUUAAAGCCUACCAUAACCAAUUAGAAGAAAUUUGCUGAAAAAGAGAAGUUUGAAGACAAAGAACUCUCAAUCAAUUAAAGCCUUAUAUAAUCGAUUAAAGUAGAGAACACAGCAGCAAGACAAUGCAAGGUAAAGAAGCUGUAAUCGGUUAGAGCUGCUUGUAACUGGUUAGCUGAAUAUUGUCUGCCUUUUUGAAUUUAAACACUAGAUGUUACGACCCGGUACUCCCCUCGAGCCCAUGACAAUCGACCCAGUGUCCUGAUAGACACUCACUACCCAGAAUGCCAAUCGGAACCCCACAAGACUUUAAUAUCAGUUUCUCAUUUACCCUGUGAGUAACCGUUGCCAAAUAUCAUAUUCUAAAAGAUUUUAAGCUAUUUCCAAAUCAAAACAAUAAAAAAUAAUAAUUGAUUUCUGUCUCACAUGGGCAUUUUGGUCAUUUUUUCUCGAAAAUCUCGAAACUAGCUAAAAAUGUAGUAUGCGAGUGGAAAACACAUAUUUCAUAAUCAAAAAUAAGUUUAGAUGUCUAAAACAUUCAUUUAAAGUGAAACUAUAACUAUUUAAACAUAAUAAAAAUAUUCGAUAAAAUAUUCUAUUUUCUUAUAAAAUAAUAUUUAUAGAGUUAUCGGUAAAUAAUUUUUACAGCGUAAAAGCAAAUUAAAUUCCUACAUACAGUAGUACAGAUAACUAGAGUAUGAAAUUUAAUUUAAUUUAUAGUAACAUGUGGACCCCAAAUGACAAAAAUGAACGAAGGUUGCAAACCUACAGUUUUUGAGGAAGUAAAGCCAACUGUAGCCUUCGACGAUAUCAGCUAUCUACAGCCUAUACUGA
rnacentral:lncRNA from 1 species